rnacentral:lncRNA from 1 species
GGAUGAUGAGUAGUCAGCUUGUGCUUGGAUGGCAGGAGAAACCAAUGCAGGACCCUGACUUGGAUUGGCUGAACCCAAAAAAAAAAAAAAUUUAAUUAAUUAAAAAUAAUAAUAAUACACAUAUAUACAUACAUAUUUUCAUGAUUUCUAAAGUUCAAACUUCUCUUUUCCGUUCUUGGAAUUUGUUAAUAACUAAAGCAUCACUUAUAAACUGUUCUGUAAGGAAGACCUAGAAUAUUUGCACUCAAACAGUAGAUGGAAAGUACUUCAUCCAGGAUUUAGGAUAUGGGCUCCGAUUAAACCAAAUAUUCAAAUGGUACAUCAGAUGCUUCAGUACUUUGGACCGUCUUUCUCUAUUUAAAAAAUUAAUUCUUCAUUAACCUUAAUUAAAGUAGUCAUCUUUUUCCUCACAUAAAUCAUGAAAAUUCUGUUUAAAGUACAAGAUUUUUCCUCACUUAGUAGACAUAAUAUACAUUGACCAGCCAACAGCCCUUAGCAACUUUAACUUACAAUAUGCAGGCCACUUUGUUAUGAGCUCCAAGCUAGAUUCAUAUUCAGUUAAGAUGUGCUUCUUCAAUUAUAUGACGAAACAAGCUGUGCUCCUAGAAUUACAUGAAGAAACAAAUUAAAAUACAAUGCUUCAAUAUUUUGCCUUUAUAAGACUAAUGUCUUCACAUACUCAGGAAAAGGUACGUGACCGCAUUAAAAUUACUGAAAACAAAUUGUAGCAAAAAACAUUCAUCAUGAAAAGUUUAGGGAACUUCAACACGAGUACAAAAAUGAGAAGCCAAAAAAAAAAAAUUAAAUAAUGCUGUACCUAUGUGAGUAGGUUUUUUAAGUCUAAAGCACGUAGAAACCGUAAGUCCUAAAUAAAUUCAUUGAAAUUGAAAGGCUUACUAUUAUAUAAUUAUCAUAAAUAAAUAAGCCAGAUGGUAUUUCAGAAAAUAUACCAUUACUAGUUCAAUUGUGCACAUUUAAAAAUUGGGUCCAUAAUCACUCACAAAUAUGAGAAUUGAUGACUUUAACAAUUGACCAUCAGGGAACGUAAUCCUAUGUGCUCUCUGUAAAGUAACUAUUUAUCAAAAAUACAUUGAAAAUCCAAAUUAUUCCAGCGAUAAUUAGUAUACUUAAAAAAUGUGCAGCUAAAACCUACUAAGUCAAAAGUAAGGUAGCUCAGUAUGGGGUCAAUGUAGAGCGAAAAACAAAAUUCAUCAAAGAGUGAAUAUGGUGAUAAUAGGACACUACUUUCUUUUACUCAAGGAGUGAAGCAUACGUGAACGAUUUUAUGCAGGUGGCAUAUUUCUUUGUCUUCCAUGAAGGUUAAUUUAUAAUGCAUGUACAUACUUCAAAUAGAAGGAUAAAUUAGAAAAGAAUAAUUUCUAGAGUUGAGAUAAAGCACUUUAGAUGUAAUUGAGGGAAAGAUGAAAAAGGAAUCAUAUAUAGCACAUACGUUCUUUUAGCCUCAUGUAAGCAACUUUUGCUGCACUCAUCUCCGCUUGCUUCUUGGACUUUGCUUCUUGUCCAGAAAAAACUUGUCCUCCUACCUCAACAGUUGACACAAAAGUUGGUGCAUGAGAUUCACCAGAUUGCUUAGUAUUAUAAACUGGCAAAGCAUACGCUUCUUUCUGAGCCAAUUCUUGCAAAAGGUUCUUGUAAAGAACAGAAUCAUCCUGGAAAAAUAUGUUUAUUAACAAAAUAUGCGAAUAUGAAAGAAGAUAGAUCACUACUAAUACGAAAUUCAUAAGUUAUUCAUUAACAGUUAAUUAGAAGACUGGCCUGUUGAAAUUUAUCAAGUGACAAUGACAUUAAUGCAACUUUCGCCGCUUCAUGCUCGGCAUCUUUUAAAGUAGGAAAAAACUGAUGACUCUCAUAAGUUUGUCCAUCAAUUGUGACCUUACACUUGAAACGACUAGCAUGAGGAGGACCUUCCCUCUCACAUGAAUACAUAGGAAGAGGGAGAUUUUUCUUUUGAGUAUAGCUCUGCAGCUGGUUUUUGUAUAGGUGUUGCAUAUCUAUAAUUCAGAAAGAAAUUAUGAGUCACAUGACUUCUCAUCAUAAACAAUAGAAAUUCUUUCAUUUCCUUAUUUAUUGCCUAGAUAAAAACCAGAAGUCAAAUGUUCAGAAUGCAAGGAAAUAGGAUGUCAAUUCAAUGAAACAUCAGUAAACAUAGCAGUGAUGGCUGAAUCGCCUUGAGGAUAGAAAUACCCCGACCUUACCCUCCCCCGCUCCUUAAAAGAGUACCCUUCAUCCAUACCCCACUCUCACAUCAGGACUGCCAUCUUUAAUAGUUCUUACCACAGUAGGACUGGAACGCACACCCAUGAUCUGUGUCCCGCCAGUACAAUAUUUUAACUAAGUAGCAGCAGAACGCCAAAAAGCAUCAAUGUAAUUGAAUGGAUAAAAUAAGUACCAUCUAAGCUAAAUUCAUACCUUCAAACAAGAAACCAUCGAUGCGAUCAUCAAGCUAAAUGCCCAAGCAAUGUACUAAAGCAAUCAAAUCUAAGAAAUUGAACGUACAAAAUAAGUUCCAAUUAAGCUAAAUUCAUACCUUCAAGUCAGAUACCUCUUACUUGAAAUAAAUCAAGGUUACAGGAGAUGAGAGCACAAUCAGCUUAAUUGGUAGAGUUUAAAAAAUAUUAGGUCCUCUCUGGGGCAUACACAAUGAUGAAGAUGAAAAAGAUGAAGACUCAAAAAGUGAGAGAGAGAAAGGAGAAAGCUGAGAUUAGCUGCUUAGAGAAGGAGGCAGCAGAGAGGAAACCAAAUGGGAACAAAACCCUAACCUUGGGAAAGGAAAUAAUAUAAACAUAUACUAAGGUAUUUAUACGAGAAAAAAUACCUGGGAAAGGGCUGAAAAGAAAGAAGUUGUAUCUAUACCCCAACUGCACCCUAUUAGUUAUUUGAUUGACACAUUGCUUGACCCAAUUGGCUAGGUGUUUCCUCGUACGGGCACUGAAUAUGAAGCAGUGUGAACACUGAAAUUUCAAGUUUCCUUAUAUAUACUUUUUGAUUUCACUAUUUUACUUCUUUUCACUCACCUGAGGCUCAAUGUAAGAUCGUCAAAUAGACGGAAUACCUGAGGCUCAAUGUAAGAUCUUCAAAUAGAUGGAAUUGGAUUGAAAGAUUGAGUUCUCUCACUUGAUAUCAAAUUCAGAGUUAACUUAGAGAUCUAUUUCAUUAUAUGUUAUUAGUGCGUCUCAAAAAUGACAUGUAAUGGUCCACUCAAAUGUUUUAUUUAAAUAUCCGUCCAUAUAUUAUCCAAUAUUCCCUUUCAACAUUACCGUACCUAGCAUUAAUAAAUUUUAGGCACAUCACAGCAUAUCCAAAUUUACGUAUGUCCAGCAAUUUUCUAAUUGAAAAUGAUUUUGUACAUAAAAAUACAGAUAUGUGGACAAGAACAACAAUCAAGAUCAUCAAAUUUAGUAUGGAAGAAAAGAAUACAAAUGAAAAUAUGUGACAAUCCAACUUCAAUUGAAGUUGUUAAUUAGAACUUCACCAAGGCCAACAGAAGUAUGAGAAACAUGAAUCAUAAUUAUAAAAAAUAAUAAUAACAUAAAUCACUUAGAAGUUCUCUGAUGCGGUAAAUUGAAAUAGAGCUACAUUCAAGAAAUCAUGACUAUAGGCUUUGUCUUUAAUAGCCUCUUUAAUCCUCAAUCUUUUGACAUCACCAUAGCAGAAAAGUAAGUACACAAAAUUCAACAAUAUAUGCAUGAUCAAUCAAUAAAACCAAUAAACCAAAUAUCUAAAUCAAGAAAUUACAGAAAGGAAAAGAAAUUAUUACUAAAAUAAUUAUCUGACCUCUUGAUUUGUGAACAUCAUUGACAGUUGAGAUCGUUGCAUUGACCUGAGUAGUUCGAUCUGUUUCUCGAGCAUUUACUUGCACUGCACUUUCACUCGAAGAACCUACAAAAAUUAUUUAUAACCCAGUGUAAAGAAGAAGUAAAGUUUUCCGCACGAACAUGGUAAAGUAAAGUUUUCUGUAGGAAAAUGGUAACUUCAAAAUCCGUUUCAAACCUAUCAUACAUCCCCCACCCUCAUUUAAGACUAGUGCUUGCAAAAACUAGAAGUAAUUUAUCCAGAACAUAAAAGCAGAGAAAAUCCAGUCCAGUAUAAAUAUAAAAUUAGAUAAUACCUACCAUUUACCAUUUCAUUCAAGAACACCACACAGUUAACGAAACCAACAUAGGUAUGUUUCCAACUGUUGUACUUUCAAGUUAAUUUUGAAAGCGCGGAAGCUAAAGCCUAAACUGUUGUUUGAUAAAAGCCCAUCCACUGACUGAUACUUGGCGGGUAGCAAUUCCAUUCAAUAGCAGUCAUAGAAUAAAAGUACAAAACAAACCCCUGUUUAAAAAAUGCAAUGAAGCAGCCAUGAUUUCAAUUAUUUGCAUGUCUGGGAUUGCAGUUGAUUCCAAAUUGAGAAUAUACUUCGAGAAUAUGUUUGAUAAGCCCUUAUGUGAUGAUCGCUGGUUUAUUGAGUCUUAAAAGAACAACUCAAUCAACUAAUGUUUGAUUUGAAAAAAAAAAAUGGCAAAUCAAAAAAGUUUUGGAGUAGAUUCUCAAAAGAGUGAUUAUUUGAUAAUCCACCAUAAUCCCACAUAGUUAUCAGAAUGAAAUUAAAAUCCGAGGAAUGUUAUUUAAGGCAAACAGCACUUUUUUUAUUUUAACCAACACUUGCAAAUUGCAAUUCUUAAACUAAAAGCAUGCAAAAUAAAUGCAAAUUAAGAACGCACCUAACAGAAAAUAAUAAUAAUAAUAAUCUGAAUUGGCAAUAUUAAAAUUACCGUUAGAAGAGGAAGCGGCAGGAGUAGAGGAUGGUGGAGGAGGAGACGAGAAAUGUUGGAAAGCGAUUCUAGCGGCGUCGUUUUGGGCCUCUUUGGACGACUUGUAAAGAUCCGGAGUGGUGAAAGAUUGGUCGUUAACGGUAACGGUUGCUUGAAAGCGAGGGUUGUGGUCAAGGCCUUGUUUGGCUGUUGUGUAUACUGGCAAGUUCCACACUCUCUGGUGGCAUAGCUCCUGCAGCUUCGUUUUGUACAUCUUUUUUGCUUACAAUAUUUUCACUGAUUUUAAUUUUUUUUUUGGAAUGGGAAACUCAAGAGAAGAGAGAAAUGGAAUUUAGUUGCAAAAUUUGAAGUUUAAUUAUCAAAUAUUACGCCAAGAGAGUACGCUUCAGUUCCACGAACAGGUUCAGAAUAAAUGACGCUUGGGAAUGCUGAAAUGGAAUAAGGCCUUUUUAUAAACAAAUAAUAAUAGUAAACCGACGCCACGGUGUUUUAAAAAUAAGUUUUUUUUUUUUUAACCUUGAAAUUCCUUAUCACAGUGACGUUUUAAAAUAAUAUUUUUUUAAAAUGCAAAAAAAAAAUUUCUUUCUACCAUUUAUAAAAAAGAAAACUUAAAUAAUUUACUGUAUUAAACGUUAAAAUAAACUAAUAAAAAAUUAUCGAUAUUCUAAAAACCAAAUAAAUAAUACCUUUCCUUUAUCUUCUUCUCAAGGAAGGUGGCUAAAAACUUUCUUCUCCAAAGAGAUCUUGUUCUAUAAGGAGACAUGACAUGAAAGUUGAAGGAGAGGGUGAUCGAAGGGGGGAAUAAAAAAUCUUUUAUGGUUGGCUCGUGGACAUGGACUUCUUAUGAAAGGUGGUAACGCUGUCUCAACGUCAUAAUUAUACCGAAGCUAAGUCCAUUUCAAUCAAUAUAAAAUAUGAAUGCGGUAACGACUAACGAGAAGUUAAUAGUUUUGGAUCAAACGAAUAUACAACGUCGUUCGUGUGUUUAUCAAAUAAGAAUUCAAUUUAAACAAUGUAAAUGUGUUAACAAGAAAUUGAGAGUUAUUGAUAAGACGAGCAUAAAAUUAAAACGUCAUUCAUAUGUUCAUCAAACAAGAGUCCAUUUAUGUAUAUGUAUUAACAAGGAGUAGGGAGUUUUAGGUAAGACAAGCAUGUUGAGUUGUAAUCGGAAUAGACAGAAAUCAGAAUAGGAAAUGGAGAUCAGAAUAAAUUAUUUAUUUGAACUGUAGGAAUCGAAAUCGGAAUGAAUUGAAUUGUCAUAAAUGUGUUUACUUUGUCUUGGAAUCGGAAUCGAAAUGAAUUAAAUUAUAACAAAUUAUUAAAAAGUACUUAAUAAAUUAUUGUUAUAAUUAUUAUUUUAUAUUUUAAUUAUAGUGAUUAUUUAUUCAAAAAUUAUUAUUAUUAAUUAUUGUCAAUAAUAUAUUGAUAUAUUAAUUAAUUAUAAUUAUUAUUAUAAAUAUAUUAAUUACUAAUAUUAAUAUAUUUAUUUAUAAUAAUAUAUUAAUUAUUGUGAUUAUUUAUUCAAAAAUUAUUAUUGUUGUUAAUAAUGUAUUAAUAUAUUCAUUAAUAGUAAUAAUUAUAUUAAUAAUUAUUAUAACAAUAUAUUAAUAAUAAAUAAUAAUAUACGAAUUAAUUAUAAUAAUUAUAUUAAUGAUUAUUAUGAUAGUAUAUUUAUUAAUUAAUUAUAAUAAUAAUAAAAUAUAUUAAUUAUUGUGAUUAUUUAUUCAAAAACUAUAAUUAUUAAUAUAUUAUUGUUAAUAAUGUAUUAAUAUAUUAAUUAAUAGUAAUAAUUAUUUCAAUUAAUUAAUGAUAAUAUAUGAAUUAAUUAUAAUAAUAAUAAUAUAUUAAAUAUUGUGAUUAUUUAUUCAAAAAUUACAAUUAUUAAUAAUUCUUGUUAAUAAUGUAUCGAUAUACUAAUUAAUUAUAAUAAUAUAUUAAUUAAUUAUAUAUUUGACUUUUUAUUUUUUAUAUUUAUAUCUUUUAUUUAAAGAAGGGGCAUUUUAAGAAAUUUUGAAUGUCAACGGAAGCAAAAGAACUCUAGGUAAUGGGAGAUUGAUUCUCACCUCUCCCAAGGAAUCAAUCUCUCAUUCCUCAUUCUCAAAUAGUGGUGGGUUCCAUGAUUUCAAUUCUGAUUCUUACUCCAUUUUUUGGAAGUAAAUGCCGUUAAUCAUUUUGAUUCUCCAAUUUGGAAAAUAAAUGUACCAUAAUAUUUAAUCAAUUAUUAUGAUUAUUGGAUUUUUCAGAUACUUUUAUCUAUUUUGGUUGGAGGGACGAAGUUCACUUUCUAUUAAAAGAAACAUUAGAGGAGCUUUCAAAGUCUAGGCUAAGGUUGUUUCCCAUGGCCUUGAAGCAAUACCCAAAAAGAGCUUUCCGGCUGGCAAAAUAGGCUUGUGUUUCUGCGUCGCAAAAUGAUGUGAAUGAGCUUUCGGAGUGUUUCCUCUGAAAUUUUAGAUGCUGCAAAAUCAACAUUGUCCCGCUCGAAGUAACCCGGACAAUUUCAUUUCCUAAUUUCUUCUUAUUUAUUAUGGCAUUGAUUUUCAUUGCAAGCUCAUUGCUCUGCUAAGAAAAAGAAUAAAUGGGGGCCAAAAAAGGAAGAAAGAAAUAGAGGCAAAGGCAACAACAUUAAUGCACAAACCAGUAAAGGUAUUCCAUCGAUUUACGGCCACUGAUAGCAAGCCGGGGCCUUUAAAAACGGAAAAUACAAGCAAAGAAAAAUAGAAGCCAAUUGCUCAAUAGUGCAUAAUAUGCAUACGGAAAAUUUUCAUCACAUCACGACCCACAGUUAUUCGAAUAGGUAAUAAGACAGGAAUUUUCUUUCUUUGUUUAAAGUGAAAAAAAAAAAAAUCAAUGGCUCAGGAAGUAUCCCUCCAAUCUCCAGAACCACUCACUUGGCACUGGCAAGCUGGGUGCGGAGUAGCUUGGCAGCAGCGACCAUGUUUGAGAGGGCUGGCUUCACCUCAGUGUACUUGCGAGUCUUAAGACCACAGUCAGGGUUAACCCACAAAAUGUUGGUUUCUAGCACAGCAAGCAUCUUGUUGAUUCUGUCAGCAAUUUCUUCAGUUGAUGGUAUUCUUGGAGAGUGGAUGUCAUACACACCAGGGCCAAUUCCAGCACCAUACUUGACUCCCUCACGGAAGACAGACAGGAGCUUCUCAUCAGAACGAGAGUUCUCAAUGGUGAUCACAUCAGCAUCCAUGUCGAUAAUUGAGUGGAUAAUGUCGUUGAAGUUGGAGUAGCACAUGUGGGUGUGGAUCUGUCAAUCAAUAUACAAUAAGAUGAGACACAACAUCAACAGCUAAAUUAGAGAGAUGAGAUUGGAGAUUGAAAGGGCAACUGACCUGGGUAGUGUCCUGGACGCCACAGUUGGUGAUUCUGAAGGAGUGGACUGCCCAGUCCAAGUAGAAAGCAUGCUCAGAUUUCCUAAGAGGCAAUCCUUCCCUCAAGGCAGCCUCAUCAAUUUGAAUAACGUUAAUGCCUGCCUUCUCAAGAUCCUCGACUUCGUCCUUGAUGGCCAAAGCAAUCUGGUAGCAGGUUUCAUGUCUGCAAAAUUGGCAGCGAUUUAUGUUAAACAAUGUUUCCAUUUCAAAAGGUUAACCAAUAGUGAACCAGUUCUCAUUUAUAUACCUGGGCUGGUCAUUUCUAACAAAGGACCAGUUGAGAAUGGUGACAGGGCCAGUAAGCAUUCCUUUCAUUGGGCGAGCUGUCAUGCUCUGAGCCAAGGAGGACCAGAAGACGGUCAUAGCCUUGGGACGGCUCACAUCACCAUAGAUGAUGGGUGGCUUCACACAGCGAGAUCCAUAGGAUUGCACCCACCCAUUGGCAGUGAAGGCGAAACCUGAUAAUUGCUCUCCAAAGUACUCAACCAUGUCGUUCCUCUACAAAAACAAAUGUCCCAAUUCAAUAUGAGAUACAGCAUACUUCGUAUGCAAUUAGAAAUGCAGAAACAAAAAUGUAUAAAAUUUUAUCUAAUUCAAAACCAGGAGACAUUGCUUUGCUUCCAUUGGGCAUUGUGAAACUCACCUCAGGCUCUCCAUGGACAAGGACAUCAAUAUCAAGCUCUUCUUGGAGUUUGACAACCUUGUUGAUUUCCUCCUUGAUGGAAGCAACAUAUUCUUCCUCAGAAAUCCUAAAAAGGACAAAUAGUCACGGCACAGUUAAUACAGUAGUCGAAGUAAUUUCACACAUGGCAUUGAAUGAAGGAAAACCUCAGAUUGACUCACUUCUUAGCCUUGUAUUCACGGCGGACUCUCCUAAGUUCAAUGGUUUGUGGGAAGGAUCCAAUUGUGGUGGUUGGGAGGAUUGGAAGAUUGAGCUUCUUCUGUUGAGCAUCCAAUCUAGCACUAACGUUUGUAGCACGUCUGUGGUCUGAUCCCUUCAAAGCAGCAGCCUAAUUUACCAAGAGGAAGGAAUCACCGUUAGCAAAAAAAGGAAACUCUAAGGGGCAGCCACAUCAUAAAAAUGGAAAACAAAUCAAUCAUGCCACUUACAGCCUUUUGAACUCUCUCAUUGGUCACUCUCGGGGAGGACUUUCUUGAAGCCUGAGCUGCAGCAUUGGCAGAGAAGAAUCCCUGGAAACAAAUGAAAAGGAGAAACAAAGUUAGUCUCAUUCAUAUCAUUUCAAAAGGAAUAUACAUAUGCAAUUAGUGGGCUGAUUGUGAGAGAAAAUGUCCACAAAACUUUAACCAAACACCAAAUGCCCAAGUUGCCAAAUGAUGUUUAAUUCGGAAAAAUAUAUUUAGAAACAUUCAAAUAAAUAAUUUCCCCUUCUAAAUUUUCAUUUUCAACAACAUAUUUUACAAGCCAAGCUCAACUUCAGGCCAAGAUUUUCUGCUCCUAUAAUUAUAUUUUACCAUAAAACUAGGUCCUUGAAAGGCUAAGAUUUUCUGACUCUUGUGACUAGUCAAAGCCUAAGAUUCUUUCAAUUCAUCCGUAGCUAACAUUUUAGACUAAAAGUAUACCUCAUCCUUUUGGCCAGCCAAAGCCUUGGCCAAUGCAUUCACUUCAACAACUUUCUGGGCAGCAAAUGCCAGCCAUGACUUGAUUUCAUCGUCGAGUUUGUUCUCAUUAACAAGAUCAACAGCAGUGUGAAGAAGUGAGCAGGAGGUGGAGACCACAAGCUUGUCUGCAAAGAAAAAUAAUAAAUUAUACAACAAAUCCCAUAAAAGAAUAAGAAAUAUUUAUCACAAAGAAAAAUGCAGGCAAAGGAUGUAUACCUUUGCCAACAACACCCUCAAGCCCCCGGAGAACACUAAGAGAAGCAGCAAGAUCAUUGGCCCAAAUGUUCCUUCCAUCAACCACUCCAGCAAAGAGGUACUUGCCAGCAGGGAAUCCACUCUUGAUCAAUUCAAGGGUCUUCGUUCCACGAACCAAAUCAAAUCCAUAAGCGGUGACACCCUUCAAAGAAGUGAGGGUCUGGAAUGCCUCAGCUGGAACAUCAGCAAAGUAGGUCUCAACAAGAACAUUCAAGCCAGACAGAGUUGACUCUAGCUCGGCAUAAGCCUCACUGAAUGCAUGCAAUUUGUGUGAGUCAAGAUCCAUAACAAGCAAUGGCUCAUCAAACUGAAUCCAGGAAGCACCAGCAGCCUUAAGCUCAGAAAUAACUUCCCUGCAGAAGUGUUAAUUGGUACAACACAGAUUAAUGAUGUCACUCGAUAUAUACACACAGAGUUAUUUAGCACAUACACAUUUAUAAAUCAGUAAUAGGUGAUAAUUUCUUACUUGUAGAUUGGAAGGAUUUUCGGAAGAAGAGAAAGAAGAGAAAAGGUCUUCGCAACACCCUUGGCAGGCUUAGACAGCAACAAGUAUGACACAGGGCCAAUAAGCACUGGGACAGUUUCAACUCCAAGCUGCAGCAUUAGACAAGUGAUCGAUAUUAGCAUCUCACAAACUUGAUCUGAUUGAUAGAAAGUUACAAGCAAGUUCAGAAUUCGUUUAAUGAAAUCUCUAUGAAAAAUCUUCAGGGUCCACAAUGUGUUGAAAGUACCCUUUUCAAGUAAUUUAUCUUAAGACUAUUUUGCAAACAGUAUUGCUUUCCUUACAGAUCAAAUAAAUCAAACAACAUAUGAACACAUUUACUGAACCAAGUCUAAGUUCAAAGCUCUAUAAAUAAAUGUCAAUGAAUCUAUAGUAAAUUCUAUUGCAUCCUAAGCUAAAGAUGAGCAUAUCAUAUAAGAAUUUCAAGGUGAACGUAACCCAAUUUCAAUAUAUUGUAGAUUCAGAUAUCAAACGAAAUAAAAUUUGUAAAUAUAGACAGAACUGAGAAUAAACACUCACCCCCUUAGCCUCCUUGUACUCAGUCACAGCCUUGUGGGAAGCGUAGGAGAACUUAACAUCGGGUCCCAAUUCAGGAACAAUGAAAUGACUGCAUCAACACGAAGCCAAACACGCGUCAGCAUUCAGUACAAAACCAUUACACCAUAAAUAACUUGAAAUGCCGCUCUUCCAAGUAGUGAAUACUUACUAGUUGGUGUCGAACCACUUGGUCAUUUCCAUAGCGGGAACAGAGGCGUUUCCUCUGGCCAUGGAGAAGUAAACAUCAAAUCCAAUCUCGCCGCCGUUCCAGUUAUACCUCGGGGGCACGGCACCGAGCAUUGCGGUGGUGUCGAGCACUUGGUCGUAGUAGGAGAAAGUGUUGCUGGGAAUGUAUUUGAUCCCGGCCUGGGACAUCUGUUUCCAGAUGGAGGAUCUGAGAUCAGCGGACACCUUUUGCAAAUCCUCAGCGCUGCUCUUGCCAUCCCAGAAGGAUUCCAACGCGAACUUGAGCUCCCUCUUGGGGCCCAUGCGUGGGUAUCCAACGAUGUGAGAUGCCAUUUUACUGUCAUAAUCACGUCAUCAAUGAAUCGAAAAUCAGUCACUUUCAUUAAAUCAAGAAAAUAUUCAUUCAAAUGGAUGGGUCAUUGCUAUUACUGCUCAAAUCAAAUGAAAUCAAGAACACUUAUCAGAGCAUAAAAUCUUAAAUUAAUUUUUUUAUAAAAAAAUAAAAAACCAGUUGAAACAAGCUGAUAAUAAUCCAAGAGUUUGAGAUGAUUUUUUUCUUUCUGUAAUCACAUGAACAAUUAUGUACUUUCAGUCAUUUUUGAAGGAUUAAAACAAAAAAUUCUACAAAUAGAUUCUGAAAAGAAGAAUCUAAAAAUAGAUUCAAAAACAGUAACACAAGUAGAGUUCAAAUUGUUUUUCGGAAAAGAUUAAUUACAGAUCUGAUUGAUUCACGUUCAGAUCUAGCAAAAUCACGGCAGCCAAACACUAGAUCUAACACUAACAGUCACUCACCAGUCCAUUAGAAAAUGAAAUCAAGUUCAAAAUUCUUUUAAAGUUAAUUCUUUUUUAGAAAAUGACCAGAUUUUAGUUGAGUAUUAGUGAGUUUUUUACAAAAUAAUUUAUUUUUGUUUUUUAGAUCCAAAAGUUCGGAAAUCAAAACCAUGUUCAAUGCUUAUUCAUGAUUAACGGCGUAAAAACGCUACUGCAGAGAAGACAUAACGAAAAUGGGAACCGUACCAAACAGAGAAAGAAGAGCAGAGAAAUUGAGAGUCGAGAGGAGAGAGAGAAGAGAGCGGCGAGUUUGGGGGAGUGCCCUCUCCGUUAUUUAUAGCCAAAAAUCAAAUCUGGUUUGGUGGUUGCCUUUGGCGUGCCAACCUGUAGAUCUGAGAUUUUUCAUCUUAAUUUCUUUCUCUUAUUUAUUUAUUUAUUUAUUAUGAUUUUCAGUGCAGUUCAUAAAAUAUAGAGCUGACGCGCGCUUUUCUGAUGUGGCGCGUGAAUUGGAAAUGCGGUAGGUCUUUGUGGGCCCCACGGCACGGUCAGGACUGAAGGAAAAAUGUGAGAAGUUAUCAUAAUUUCAACAGUGCCAUAAUUAGCAAUUACACCACCAAAUAUUUCUUGAGUUUUUUUUUUUUGAUUGCUUUAAAUGCAGAGUUGUUAUGAAUUGUGUUAAUUGUAGAGUUGUUAUGAUUAGAUUACAUUAUAAUUCGUCACAAUUAUGAUAGGUAUGUACGUAUAUAAUAAUUUAUGAGUAAUGAUAUAACCACAAACUCUUAUACAAACUUAUUUUGUACAAAUUGAUGUGGCAUGAUAAAAUUAGUUGAAUUAAAUAUUACUUGAUCCACAUGAUUUGUUAUUAUUAUUUUAUAUUUUCAUUCAACCAAUGAAUUAAUGACACGUCAGUUUGUACAAGAUAAGUUUGUACAAGAGUUUAUGGUUGUAUCAUCACUCAUAAUUUAUAUAAGAUCUCGAAUAUUUAAAAAAUUUAUAAAUCAUUAUUUUCAUGUACAUUUACCUGGUAGCAAUGACAAUAACAUAAAAUAAACUCCAAACAAGAAUGGAUUAUAUUAUUUAUGUUAUUUUAUAGCUUUUUAAUUGAUUUUUAAAAGGAUUAAUUGUUAAUCAUUACUCUCCAACCGUAAUCACCAUUAAAUAUUUAUUUAAUUUAAUAGUCGGUAGAUCAUAAAUAAGAUUAGAAUAUUUAAUGGACAAUCUAAUUGCUACUACAAUUGUUAUCAUUUUUUUAAGGUAAGGGAUUAGACAAUACUCAAAUUUAUUUUUUAACCCCUUACUCCCUAAAGAUUCGAAUUUAACUAACUAAUUAAAUAAGACUGCUUAAAAACCACUCAACCACAUCUUUUGGGGACCAAUUAAUAUCGAUGUUUAAACUGAGGUUUAUUAUUAAAUUUUUUAAGUUUCAAGUUUCAACCGCUAACAACAUUAUCAUCGAUUAAUGAUAAAUAUAAUAAUAUUUCAUCAAAAAACCAUUUAACACAUCCAUCCAUAUUAAACAUAAGUAAAAAAUUUAUCAUGCAUUUCAAAUAUAUUUUUCAUCCUAAAAGUUAUGGAGAAAAUCUUGAUAUCAAAACUUACAAUGUAAUUAUGGGAUGUAAUUUUGCAUUUGAGGUCAGCACAACUUAAAAAUUACUAUGAAUGAAAAUUUAUAAUAAGCAGACACCACAAAAAAAAAUUAUUUAUAAGUAUUACAAUCAUGCAGUUUUAUUUAAGUAUUUAACCAAGUCAUUCAAUUUCUAAUUAAGACGGUAUAAAUUAGAUUUGGGCUGCCUAAGACCAAAAGUCAAAAAAAAAAAAAGAAUAUUCCUAAUAAGCAGCCUACCGCGGUCACGCGCCUUAAGAAACGCUUGGACUUAGCACACGAUUUUAAUCCAAAAUGUAUAAAAAAGGAAAAAUUUAUGAGGUGUAUAAUUAUCUUGAGUUGUUAUAUUUUGAAGAAACAAUGAAGAAAGUUGGUGGCCGAAGUUGAUCCGGGGCGAAUGGUGGUGGGCCCACGUUGUUGCAUUAUAAUUGGAGUUAUUGUAAUUUUUCUUAUAAUUAAUAAACUCCAUUUUUCAAAGAAAAUAAAUAAAUAAAUACACUCCCGAUUACGAAAAUAUCAUUUCAUGAGUGUCAAAGUUAGAGCUGGCAAAAUUUGACACGACCCGAUUACCUGACACGAACACGACAUAAAUAAAUAAGUAUGGAUCGUCAAAUUUAACACGAUUAUUAAAUGGGUCGGGUCUGGGUCAACACAAUUUUUUUCCGUGUCGGGUUUGGGUUAAAAUUCUUGACCCAUUUACCCGAUCAAUGACCCGAUUAUAUUUUCUAUUUUAAAAUAAUUUACAUAUUCUUAUAAUUAAAACUCAAAUAUUAGAGAUAUUUUUUUUAUUCUUUAAAAUGGUGAAUAUAAACACAGUGUUUUAUUUAUAAAAUUUUACAUACAUUUAGAGCUUCAAUAGUGUAAAUGUGUAAAAAUUAAUAGACAUGUAUAUUUUAUAAUAUUGAUAUAUAAUAUUAUAUAUAUAUAAUUAAAACAUCAAUAGUGUAAAUGUGUAAUAUAUUGGUAGAUAUAUAUAUUUUAUAAUAUCGAUAAAUUAUGUAUGUAUGUAUUUAUGUACAUACGUAUGUAUGUAUUUAUGUAUAUACGUAUGUAUGUAUUUAUGUACAUACGUAUGUAUGAUAGUGUGUAAAUAUUUUAUGUAACUUUUGUUCAAUAUAUAGAUAUUAAACGGGUUAUUGGGUAACCCGAUUGUUUUUCCGUGUCGGGUUUGGGUCUCAAUAUUUUGACACGAUUAUUAAAUGGGUCGGGUUUGGGUCGACCUAAAUUUGACACGACACGACACGAACACGACCCGAUGACCCGUUUUGCCAGCUCUAGUCAAAGUGACCGUCACCUACGCAUCGCGUUUGUUGGGCGGGGUGGGUAAGGUGGGGCGAGGAGUUUGUUUGAUCGUCUGAUUACUUUGAUUUUGAUGAAACGUAUGGACGACGGCGAUGGCUUGCCAGCAAGUGGGUUUAUCAUGAUUUUGAUUGUAUUCGGGGAGAUGCUUAUGUAUAUCCUCAAAACUUCUUGGAAAUGAAAACCGCUGGGGUGGCAAAUCUUGACCAAUAAAGUGUGCGUGAUGUUGCGUUUAUAAAUUUCAAUAAUACUAUUGGCCGAUUGAGAUUAUUUUUAAAAAGUUUAAAAAUAAUUUUUAAAGGUUAAAUGUUAAUUUUAAUAUUGAAUAAAUUUUUAAAAAUUAUUUUUGAUAAAAUCAUUUUAUCCUCCAAUAAAUUUUAAAAAAUAGCGAUACAGUAAUUUUUUAAAAUCUAAUUUUAAUAAUCAAAACUAUUUUUUUAUAUAAUUUUAUAGAUAUCCGCAUAUAUAUAUUAUAAAAAUUCGAAAUCAUUAUUAUUAAUUAGGAAAUAAAAUCAUUAACUUUUAAGAAAUUAUUAUUAUUACCAAUUAUACUGACAUAACAAAAUAAAAAAUUAAUUAAUAUUAUAAAUAUUUAUUUCAGUUAUCAACUAUUAUAUAUACACAAUAAAAAAUAUUUUAUAUACAUAUUUAUAAAUGUAUAAAUAAUUUUUAUUCAAUAUUAUAUCGAAUUAAUCAUUUACAUUCUUGCAACAAGUUAACAAUAAAAUUUACCAAACACAUACGAUUGUUUUUAAAACUCAUAUUAUUUUUUUAAAAAAAAAUUACUAAACCUUUAACUGAUUCUCUUACAACUGAUUAUUUCUACAGUACAAUUAACAACAAUUAUUUUAAAAACUAUAACAUUUUCAAACUAGCCCCAUGACAAUAUUGUUAUUGUUGUUUUUCUUACUCUUAUCAAUAAAACUACGUUGCACAUAAGUGCAUAAAAAUUCACACAAAAUAAACUAUUUAACUUUAGGGUAUUAAUUGAAAAAAAAAAUCAGAUUAAGGUGAAUAAAUAUCAGAAAAUAACAAAUAGAUAAACUCUCACACUCUUUAAAAAAAUUAAUUUUAUAAUUUUAUUUAAAACCAACAGAUAUUACCAAACUUAACGGAUCAAUGUUCCAAUGUUUUCUUUUUAAUUUCAAAACCAACAGAUAUUCUUUGUUCAUUAUAUGACCUCCAAACAAAUAAUUUCAUUAAUAAAAUAAUAAUGAAAAGUAUCGUGGUGAGUACAGAGUAAUUCGGUGGCUAAUAAAAGUCUCUAUUUUUCGUCUCUGUUUUUCAUUUUAACUCUUGGGGUUGGUGCCACUUCGGCCUUGGUCGGAGUGGUGGGCUGCUGCCCUCACAAGUAUUGUGAGGACAGUGGUUCAAGCCCCCACAAAUAUUUUUGUGGGGGCUAACGUACUUAUUUAUUUAAUAUUUCAAAAAUUUCUUCUCCCUCGUGCAAUACGAGUGGAGUAUGGACAUCCCUCCUCUAUAAGGGAUUAUUUGUCUGGGCAUGUACUUCACAGAAUUCAAUGUAAUAAUAUAAGUCUCAAUCAUAUAUUUUUGAUUGUAAAUAUCAAUAUAAUAUAUCUGCUAUAAUAGCAGUUGUAAAUAUCUGUGUAAUGCAAUAAUAUGAUAAUUAAUCAUUAUUCAAAAAAAAAACUCUUGGGGUUGGUAGGCUCGUGAAUGGUCCACGUAACCUCUGGACGUAACACUCAAACAAAGACAGCACAAGGCACAUGAAAAAUGCCUAAAAACCGUAAAACCGUGACGUGUUCAACAUAUUAAUAAAUUUAUACUGUGUUUUCUUUUUUUUUUUAAUACUGUGUUGAUAAAGCACUUACGAUGGAACGACCAAUUCUAUUACUUGCAAAACUAAUUAAUAUUUCACUCUAUCAUCUAACUAAUGGAAGGCCAUCUUAAUUGAGGUUGCAAUAGUUAGAAAGUAGCGGGAAGGGUGGCCAAUGCUCCAUAUUAAUUUGCAUCAAUCCCUUUCUGGUGAAGAAGUACGGGUGAAGUAGAGGUCAAAGUUAGAAGAUGAAGGGUGUGUUUGGGAAUUGAGAGUGAGGUGCUGUAGUUUUUUAGCUGCAGUUGCUGUGAAAUAAAAGUUAUAACUGUGGAAUAGAAGUUGAGAAAAAAAAUUUGUUAAGCUGCCAAAGCCCAGUUACAAAUGUUACCAAACACCUUAGUAGCUAGGCUUUGGCAGCCCAUCUACCCCAUCACACUCCCAAACGGAUUAGAAGGGGACCGGGAUUGCUUUGUCAUAUUUGAAAAUGAUUUUGAAAAAAUAAAAAUUAAGUUCAGAAUUUGGUAAAUUCCUUUAAAAUUUCUUUUAGCAAAAUCACUCUCUCCUUUAGAUUUUGAAAAGUAUGGAAUGAGUAGUUUUUUAAAAUUUAAUUUUGAAAUUCGGAUUCAUAUUUAAUAUAAUACCAUAUAUCAUAACAUGUAUUAUAAAAAUCUAAAAUUAUCCUUAUUCAAUCAAUUAAGAAGUAAAAUCUUACAUUUAAAGAUAUUAUCAUUAUCAAUUAUAUUUAGAUAAUAAAAAAUACAAUUAAUAAAAUAAAAAUAUUUAUUUUAGUUAUCAAUUAUUAUAUAUAUACAUAAAAUGUAAUUAUAUAAACAUAUUUAUAAAUGUAUGUGUAAAUUAAAUUUGUAGAUUUAUGUUUAUAUAGAUCAUUUGCAUUCUUAUCACAUUUUAAAAGUGAGAUUUAUUAAAUAUAUAUAUGAUUAUUUUUAAAAUUUACAGCACUUUUUAAAACAAAAGUAUCAAAAGUUUAAUUGAUUCCUUAUUUUUACUGUACAACUAACAGUAAGAUGUGUUUGGUUCAAGUAUAAAAUGAUGGGAUUGGACAAUUUUAAGAUUAAAUAAUCCUAAUGCAAUGUUUGGUACCAAAAAUAAUUGUGGGAUAAAAAUAGUGGACCCCACCAUUUAAUCCAACACAAUGUCAAAAUUUUAUCACAAAGGGGGGUGUGGGAUAAGCUAAAACUUAAACGUAGGAUAACAAAAAAAAAGCCCAAAAUUUUAUACAACACAGUGAUUUUUUUUUUUUUUUGAGUAUGUCAUCAUCCAAUGAUAGUAUAUAUGCCAGAACACUCUUUUGACGUUAAUGAUAUGUAAUAUUUUCAUAUAUACAGCUAGUGACAUUGUUAUGUAAUUUCUUUUUCAUUUAUAGAUUUAUAUUAUUAUUAUAUUUGUUGAUGAUAUUCUUGUUAUGUUUAUAAUUAUAUUAUUUAGUAAUUUAUAAGUUUAAAAACUAUAACAUGUUAAAUAUAAGAAAAACUUUAAGCGAAGAUUUUGUAUUUUUUAACAAAUUUACCAAUAAUUUUUUAUUUAAGUUAGAUUAUAUUCCAUGUCAUUUUAAAAUAAAUCUAAGAUAAUUUUGAUAAAUUAAUAAAUAAGACAUAUUAUUAGUUACUAACCAAUUUCAUGGCAUACCAAACAUGAGAUAUGAUUAUUUACAGUCUAAUCCAACAUUGCACCAAACGUAAUAGAGUAUUAUAUAUAAUCCAAUGUUAUCAAAUCCAAUCAUAUCUUAUCCAAUCCGAUCCGAUCCAGUCUAAUCCAAUUUGACAUACCAAACAAGCCCUAAUUAUGUUAAAAACUACAUCAUUACCAAACUGACCCUUAAUACAAUCUCAUACAUACAUACAUAUAUAUAUAUAUAUUAAAAAUUAAAAAUUAUCUUUAUUUAGUUAGGAAAUAAAACCAUUAUAUUUAAAUAGAUUAAUAUUAUUACUAAUUAUAUUCAGAUAACAAAAUUAAUAAAAUAAAAAUAUUUGUUUGAUUUAUCAAUUAUUAUACACACAUAUUUAUAAAUGCAUGCGUAAAUAAAAUUUUAUAGAUUUAUGUCUAUUUAAAUCAUUUGCAUUCUUAUAACAUUUUAAAAAAAGAAAAGAAAAGUGAUUUACCAAAUACAUGUAAUUGUUCUUCAAACUUACAACACUUUUAAAAUAGAAUUUAAUAAAUGUUUAAUUAAUUUUUUCACAGCUGAUUAUUUUUAUGGUAUAACUAACAAUAAUCUAUAAACUUAUGGUAAAUAUUUGUGUGAAUGUUGGUCCAUGUAAAGAAGUAAAAACAACGCAUAUAUCAAGCAAUAAGAUAUCAAAACUCUUAGUAAAAUACAUAUACUAAUGAAAGAAUGACAGCAAUGCAAUAAAUAAGAUUAUAAUAUAAAUUAUUAAAAUUGUAUAUUAAAAAUUGAUGUAUGAAAUUCUUUUUAUUUUAGUGAUAGAUAAUGUGAUAUAUUUGAAUAAUUUGAUUAAAUGAAAAGAAAAAUAACAAGUAUGGUUGUGGAGGAAAUAAACCAUUGAACUGUGGAAUGUUAUUAAUUAUUGCUAUUUCAUUAUGUAACGUCCUGAUAAUAAGUACAGUGUUAUAGUAUAUUGAUGGGUGGUGAUAUUGUCACCCCUUAAAUUGUGUAAAGUCAACCUCAUUUACAAAUUUUUUGAUAUAAAUUAAAAAGUACAUUAGUUUUAAUAAAUUAUAUAUUUAUUGAAUAAACUAGAACCGUUAGGGAGCUGUAAUGUUAGCACUGUUUUAACUUAUUAUAAAAAAAAAAGUUAUGAUUUGAUCAUAACUCUAAUUUAGAAAAGAAAAAAGAGUUGAAUUGCUAACAUACUUAAAAAUAAAAUAAAAACAUUAUUAUUAGAUGAAAAAUUGUAAAACUUAAGGGGGCAUUUGCAAGUCCGCCACUACUCAAUAGAGCAUUAUUCAGUACUCGUUAAUAUAUCUCGAACUUUUAGGUUUUUUUAAUAUAUUUUUAAUACAUUUUCUAGAACAUUUAGAUAAAAAGAGUCAGUACUCCAAUUGAGUUGUGAAUAAACAUUUAGAUAAAAAGAGUCAAUACUCCAAUUGAGUUGUGAAUAAACUCAUGUUAAAAAAAAAAAAACUCAUUUUCACACUUGAAACGAUUAGUAAAUGGGUGAUACGAAUUUAACUUGGUCAAUAAUAUAUACCAUCUUAAGUUAACUUCAACUCAUUGAUCUUCUAUAGGGUUGAUCAGCCUGCCACAAGGCCCACAAAUUAUCACCUCUAAUGCUUUUGCAACAGUCGUUAUAAAUGCUGACAAAAUGAAACUUCUAUAUAUUUUGGUUUUUUUUUAUUUCUAUGAAAUAUAAGGCCCUUAUGGCAAAUUUCCAUCCAGCGUGAAAUUUGCUAGUUUGGCCUUGGUACUGUGGCACAUGCGUCAUGCAUGCGUGGCUGAGAUGCUUCUAAAACUAAUAAAUUAUGAAGAAUUCCAAAUUCGUACCAAAAAUAAGAGAAUAGGAGCUUGUCAUAGGUGUCCGCGGAUCGGAUUUUAUGGGUUAAACAUUAAUUCAUAUUUGAUUCGUGAUUUUGUAGAUUAUAAAUUUUUAAUUUAAUUCAAUUUAUGGAUUAGUGAAACUCAAUACAAAUUCAAUCCAUAUAUAUGCAAAUUAGAUGCGGAUUUAACCCAAUGCAUAUUCAAUCCAUCAUUUGGCGGAUUGAUUUGCAAAUUAAAAGUUUUUAAUUUUGUCCAAUCUAAAAAGUAAUUAAAUUAAAAAAAUCUAAUAUAUAAAUAAUUGAUUAAAUAAAAAAAUCUAAUGUAAAAAUAAUUUUACUACCAAUUAAAUUCAAAAUUGAACAAGAUUUAAAUAAAUUUAGAAUAAUACAUUCAAAAUUUUAAAAUAUAACACACCGAAAAAAAAAUUCAUUUAUUUAGAUCAAUACAUGAAAAUUAACUAAAAUUAUGAAUUUAAAUGUUGAAACUUGAAAGCUUGGAUGUAACAGGAAGAAUUUAAGAAACUUGAAGAGCUUGAAAAGAAAGUAAGAAAUUAAGUUUAAUUACCUCAAGUGGUGAAGUGAAACAGUGAUUGGCUUGUGCGUGCGGUGGGAUAGAGAUUUGGUGUUAUAUGUCAAAAUAUUUUGUUUGGCUUGGGGUUUUUGUUUUGCUUUAGAAAUUUUAAUGUUUAGGAAACUAUAUUUGCUUAUUUAAUUAUUUCUUAUUUUAUAUUGUUAUCGAAUAAAAUAUAAUAUUUUGUUAAUUUAGCUAUAAUUUUAUGCUGAAUAUAUUUAUUUAAAACGAUUUUAUUAAAUAAAUGUGCAUAUUUAACGAAGGUCUCUGAAAUUUCAACCUGCCUGCUAAUGAUAGCCAAUACGGCACGACCCACCAAAUGUCGGCCCACGCGGGCUUGUGGGCCAUGACGACUUUUUUUGUAAGGGCCCGGCACGGCCCACGGCACGAGUCCGUGCCCAAAAAAAGCCCACCUACCUUUUUUUUUUUUGUCCACAUGUUCAGCGUGCCUAAAAAAACCCACGUGCCUGACGUGCUUUUUUAAGCCCACCAGCCUAAUAGUAACAACAACAACAACAAUAAUAAUAAUUUCAUAGAAAUAAUUAAUGAAAAAUAAAAUAACAAUUCUAGAAUAACAAUUACAUCUAAUUUUAUUUGAACAACUAAUAUUAUAAUUGCACAUAAACUCUAUUGAAUGAAAAUGUAAUUUUUAAUUUAUUAUAAAAAUAUUUUGUUCAUAAUUUUAUUUUUUUGUGCGUAAAUAUGAAAAAUAUUUCAUUCACAAAUGAAACAUAUCUCCAUUAACUAUUAACUAAGUUAUGAUUUCAUAAAUGAAAUAUUAAUGUCGUAAAAUUUUUUAUUUAUCAUUUAUAAAAUCAUGAUAUUUAUUUAUCCAUUUAAUAAAUUAUAAACAUAAAAAAAUUAGAAUACUUAUUUAAACUAGGACUUAAAUUAAUUUUAAAAAGCCUAUACUAAAAAAAUAUAUUAAAAUUUUUAAUUUCAAGGUAUUUAUAAAAUCAUGAUAUUUUAUAUUUAUUUUUCAUUAAAAAAUUUUAUUUUGAUAUACUUUGGCCCACGUGCUAUUGGUGGCCCACGGGCCGCGUGCUUAGCCCACCAAUAAAGUGUGCUUAUUACAUGCCUUUUCGCGUGCCGUGUUUUGCCCCAUCUCUAAUCAUACCGUGCUUUUAAGGCCUGCGUGCCUAAAAUUCUAGGCCCGCAUGCCGUGCCGUGCCGUGCCGUGCCUCGUGCCGCCUGGCCCAUUGGCCAUCCCUACUGCCCGCCAACCACAUUUGUCCAAGAUCAAUUUGUAGGAAAAAAAUUUGAAAAUCAAUAAUUUAUUUAAUUAAUUGUUAAUGUAGGCAUUUGAAUCCCCACAAAAUCUGGGUGUCAGUUCUAGACUUCUGGUGAUAUAUUUUUCUAAUUAAGGAAUAAAAUAUUUUUGUCAUUUUUUUAAUAUUUUAAUUUACCAGGCAUAUCAACUAAUUAAUUUUUCUACUUAGACUAUUAAUUCAUUACGUGCGCAAUCUGUAGCCCGGCGCUCCAAUCCCAUGCAUGUUACACACAACUCAAUCAUUAUUUAUUUAUUUAUUUAUUUUGACCAACAACUCAAUGUUUUUUAUAGAGCUGUCAAAAUUUGACACGACCCGAUUACCCGACACGAACACGACAUAAAUAAAUGGGUAUGGGUCGUCAAAUUUAACACGAUUAUUAAAUGGGUCGGGUCCGGGUCAACACGAUUUUUUUCCGUGUCGGGUUUUGGGUUAAAAUUCUUGACCCAUUUACCCGAUCAAUGACCCGAUUAUAUUUUCUAUUUUAAAAUAAUUUACAUAUUCUUAUAAUUAAAACUCAAAUAUUAGAGAUGAUUUUUUUUUAUUCUUUAAAAUGGUGAAUAUAAACACAGUGUUUUAUUUAUAAAAUUUUACAUACAUUUAGAGCUUCAAUAGUGUAAAUGUGUAAAAAUUGAUAGACAUGUAUAUUUUAUAAUAUUGAUAUAUAAUAUUAUAUAUAUAUAUAAAAUUAAAACCUCAAUAGUGUAAAUAUGUAAUAUAUUGGUAGAUAUAUAUAUUUUAUAAUAUCGAUAAAUUAUGUAUGUAUGUAUUUAUGUACAUACGUAUGUAUGAUAGUGUGGAAAUAUUUUAUGUAACUUUUGUUCAAUAUAUAGAUAUUAAACGGGUUAUUGGGUAACCCGAUUAUUUUUCCGUGUCGGGUUUGGGUCUCAAUAUUUUGACACGAUUAUUAAAUGGGUCGGGUUUGGGUCGACCUAAAUUUGACACGACACGAAACUGACACGACAUGAACACGACCCGAUGACCCGUUUUGCCAGCUCUAGUUUUUUAAUAUGAAAAGGUAUUGGUUAGCUUUGUCUUUAGUUUUUUCAACUUAUAAUAAGUUUGUAUUAAGGCUCCCUUUGGUACAGAUUUUCAAGUAAAACUUAUUUAGGGUUAUUUUUAGGGACCUCCCCUGAGGUUUGGUGUAUUAACAAUCUGAUAGAAAGUAUUCACGUAAUUACAAAGACCUCCCCUGACAUUUGUAUUAUGUUAAGUGGACUGUUAUUGACUAUUGAAAAUCCAAAAAUACCCUUCCUGCCAAAAUAUUUCUUUAUUCACUGAUGAACUGAUGGGUAAUUCGUGCCAAAAUCACAAAUUACUUAAGAAGAUGAAAAUAUCCAUUGGAUAAAAAAAAUGAAAUUGCUUAAUAAAAAAAUUGACAUUGCAUAAUAAUAAAAAAAAUUGAAAUAAUGUGCGGCGGCAUAGCUGCAUCUUGCAUGCAUAUUAUUAUUGUGAUUUUUUUAUUACAAACUCCUUCAUAACUAAUACAUGCCACAAGAGCAGAGCUAUUAAAAGAAAUGAUUUUCAUAUUGUAAACUUGAUAGUACAGGUGUUGGCACCGACCAUAAAACCCUUAUGAUACCAAUCUUUGCUCCAUCCAUAUUUAAAUCCAGAUCAAGUAAAUAUUAAAUUGGAUUUCAGGUCCUGAAAAUCCUACUCUAUAAUUGAUAUCUUCGAGUUUUGUUGGUGCCUCAAACCUGGAUCUAGAGCAUCAUCUCUGUCAUACUCGGAACACCUAAACUAAUGGACUUGCUGCAGCUGCUUAUUCUUCUUCUGAAAUGAUGCACGCAUAUAGAUUACAGACUUUGAAAUAAGAAAUACAAUAAACAACAUGUAAUCGAACUUAAGAUUUCGGCACACUUGUUUGAAAAUUAGAAUCAAACAAGGAAAAUGGCAAGUCAAUAUUUUUUAAUCUAGAAAAAGGGAAAUUUCAAAGUUUAUCACAUGCCAAAUUCAUAGUCUUGCAUCCACUAUUUUCUAGUUUGAAUAACAAACAAAAGCCUUAGACAAAAACACAGAGAACAUCUCACAUGGGAGCAAAAAUUGUGUGUAGAACAAUAUACUUAAGUUACAUGUGAUUACAAUCACAUUAUUUAGCAAAUACAAAAUUACCUUCUCAAAAAAAAAAAAAAAAAAACAACACCACCAAAUUAUUGAAGGUAUUACAACAAUAAGGCAAAAGAACACCAAAGGCAUGCACAAACCGAAACUAACACACAACUCAAUUAGUGUCAUGACCCCAAACUGAACAAUCAUAUAAGCCAUUGUGGGCUCUCUAAAAGAUUAUCACAUUAUAAGCAAACAGAAACCUAUAUUUGAUGAACUACAUCUAGUACUUACACAACUCUUAAAUCAUUAGGAAAUUGCUCUUAUCAGUCAUUACCCAAUAGUUUUUUUCAACUCAACACUAACAACCCCAAAGAGAAACAACAUCCAGCACCAUUUUCAUUAAUUAAAACAGACCCAUUGUUAUUUUUAAUCAAUAAAAUAACAACAAUAUCGUGUAAGCCACUGAUUCAAGCAUUCAAGCUGUGUUUUCGAAGACUGACCUCUUCUUGCUAUCUAAUUCCAGUCACGAUAGACGCUAGAUGCCGGCAAUACUCGCUUCUUGGAAGCUCUGGACCACCGCACGACGUCAUCUUGUGCAGUAGAUGAAAAUAAAUCAAUGAUUUCAGAAAUUAUUUGUGAGUUGCAGACGCUUCUUCUCCAUGGAUGAAAAUGAUGGUGGGUUUUGUUCAAGUGUAAGCUGUGUUUACGAGGAGAAGUACACUUUGUGAAAAAAUCAUUUUCUUUCAUCUACUGGAUAAUGACUUUGGACUGGGUAAUGGUGUGUUUAAGUCUCUAUUUCACGGACAUUGAAGCAUAUUUUGCUUGAAUUUUGAUUUUGUUUAAAUUUCAAGUUUACUUUUACUUGUUUACCCUUUUAUACUGACGCUUAUGUAUUUUUAUACUAACGUUAAGGGAGGUCUUUGUAAUUAUAUGAAUACUUUCUAUCAGACUGUUAAUACAACAAACCUCAGGGGAGGUCCCUAAAAAUAACCCAACUUAUUUAAAUAGAACUUUUACAAAAAAAAAUUUAGUUAUUUGGUUGUCAAUAAACUUUUCAAGUAUACUUUGUUUGGUACAGCUUUUCAAGUAAAACUUAUUUAAGUAGAGCUUUUACAAAAAAAAAAAAAUUAGUUGUUUGGUUGUCAAUAAAAAUUUUUAUUAAAAAAAAUAUGAAAUUACUUUAUUAGUCAAGUUUUUUUAAAGUUAUGCUAUGAAAAGAAUAAAAUAAGAUUGUCAAAUAAAUAGAAAAUAUUUUAAAUAUUUUAACAUUUAAAAAAACUUUUUAACCUUUAUUUUCAAAAAUCUAAAAUUUAAACUUUUACUAGUAAAGGCAAAAUAAUUUAUUUAAACUUCAAAAGCUUUAUUAGAAAAAUAAUCAAACAAUAACAAAAAUUAUUAUAAAAGCUUAUCGAAUUAAAUAAGUACUUAUAGUUAUUAAAGAAGUUAUAUCUAACAGACACUAAUGCCGAAAGCCCCUUCUAAUUGUGGGUGUAAAAGUUUGAAUUAUGCAUACGGUUAAGGAGUUAAGGUGUGUUUGGCAACUGCAUUAAGUGGAAAUUUUUAUUUUGUUUCGAAUAAAAAUACAGCAAGCUCGUGUUCGGCUCAAAAUAAUGGAACGUUUAAUUUGCAACCGUCGGCGGACGAAGCACACCGUUCACGGCCCUUCGUAUAAAAUUGCAUAUGUAAACGUAAAUAGGUCCGGAUUCAGAUUCGUUGCUGUAGAGAGUGGCACGCACGAUCGGGCUGCUGUCGGUGGUAGGUUGGCAUUGGAAUUCUCAUCACGCGCUUCCCCAGGCGCCUACUUAUGGCAAAUUGACACGUGACGCGUGUGGAUUGAAUGGACAGAGUCCCGGGCAGUGUGUCCAAAGCUGCCAACCGUGCUCUGAUUUUUGUCAUCCAUAAUGGCUAACGACUAACGAGGGAGAUUUCCGGGCAGAAAGAAAUUGUUGUCGUUUCUGAAGGGGAAAAAAAAGUUAUUUAAUUUGUUGUUGAAGACAAAAUGAAGAUCUAAAUAAAUAAUGGCUAAUUUUGAGUGUAAAGCAACGGUAAAUGCAUUAUUAAAUUAGAUUUAGGGUCUGAUUGAGAUUAUUUUUAGAUUUAAAAUUAAUUUUGAAAAGUUAAAAUUAAUUUUGAUGUUUAUUAAUUUUUAUUAAAAAUUAUUUUUGUCAAAAUCUCUCAUCCUCCAGCAUAUUAUAAAAAAUAAGGAAGAAAUAAUUUUUUAAAAUUUAAUUUUAAGAAUCAGUUUUAUACUUAAUAUAAUCCACAUAUAUCCUCGUAAAUAUUAUAAAAAUUUAAAAUUAUUCUUAUUUAUUUAGGAUAUAAAAUUAUUAAAUUCAAACAUAUUAUUAUUAUUAUUAUUAUUGUUAUUAUUAUUAUUAUUAUUAUAAAUUCACACACGCACACACAUACUUAUAAAUUUAUAAAUAAACUUUAUUUAACAUUUUGUUCACUUAAAUCAUUUAUAUUCUUAUAGCAGUUUAACAUUAUGAUUUACCAAACACAGAUAAUUAUUUUUAAAAUCCAUAAUAUUUUUUAAAAUAAAUUUUAAUAAAUGUUUAACUUAUUAUUCUGACAACUGAUUUUUUUUGUAAGGUAUAACCAUUAAUAAUAAAUAUUUUAAAAGUUACAGUAUCCCCAAAUUGGCCCUUACUAAUACUCUGCGUUGCCAACUAAAUACUAAUUGUAACAUUAAACAUCUGGAAUAUUUUUCUCUAACGAAACAACACAAUUAAUUUCCCUCUAAAAAAGAAAAAGAAAAAGAAAAAAUAAACUACCAACCCCACCCCUUUAGACAGCAGAGUUUUAGCUGAGGCGGCUUGCUUGCAUAAGCAUUAAGGCUGCUCUUCACCAACCAUUGAACAUUCUUUCCAUUUGAUUGUUACACUUUACUUCGCCAUCUCAUGUCCAUGUACAUUGUUUUGAAAUGAAGACUUUGCGUACAACUAAUCUUUUUCAAUUCAUAAUAAAAACUCUUUUAAUUAGUUAAUAGCUAUAGCUUCCAAUUGAGACUAUAUAUAAAAAUCCAUAUUGACUGACCAAACCAAUAAUUUUUAAUUGGCUUGAGCAUUGUCUUACUUACUUCAAAAUCGUCACUCUCUUUGAAAAGAACAUGAGAGAGUUCACCUCCAUCUCAACCCUUAACCCUAUAUCUCAGUCAAGAGAUUAUUCAUGGAAAAUUCAGAAAAAAGAAAUGUUGCAAUAUUUACGAAACUCACGUCACGUGAGGUAAGAUAAAUUAUUCCUUUCUGCUUUAAUUCAUGUACAUAAUCAUGAGAAUAACUUUAAUUAUAGUUUAUUUCUCCGUUUUAAGAUUUUUCCUUUUUUUUUUUUAAUUAAUUAAUUAUAGUUCAUUCAUUAAUCCCAUAAGAAAUUAACACCUUUGCCGGUAAAGUCACACAUACAACAAUAUUUUAGAACAAAAGGGAAGAUCAUGCACGAUCAUGAUGUUUUAUUAUAUCUCUAGCAAUAUAAUUAUCUUAUAAUUAAUUAAAAACAAAACAGGUAAUUAAGCCAAAGUGGAUGGCAUGCAUCAAUCAUCAUGCAGAACACCUCCCCUUGUUUUAAAUAUAAAUAAAAGAAAUUUGUGCCCAGAAGACUUAAUUAAUACUUCUCGUUUCUGAAGUGCUCACAUGAUAUAUAGUCGGACGCAUUAUAUUUAAUUUCAUGAAUUAAUCGUACGGUUGUAUUUUGAGAGAGAGAGAGAGAGAGAGAGUGACUGAGUAAGAUAUGGCUUAAUUUAACCAAAUCUACGUAUAAAAUUUUAAAAUGAAUUUUUGAGUUUUAACUUAGGAAUUGUCUAUGAAUAAAAGUGUUAAUCAAAUAUUUCGUGUAAAAACAGUCAGCUGUAACAUUUUCGGUUGCUUUAACAAAACUGUAUAUUUCUGUAAUUUCCUAUAUGGGCCAAAAGGAACAUUUUUCUCAGAAAUUAAAAACUUAUGGUGAAAAAGAUAAGAAAACCAACAGGUUCAAAGGUGCGAGUAAACUGGGCUCUGGUGCGCCCAACUCCCUCUUUUGAUUUUGAGACUCUAUUGACCAUUGAGUUUGAGGCCCCAACGGCCCAGUUUAAAACUGUUAUGAAAAGAAAAAAAAUAUAACUAUAAAAUUAAAAUUAAUAAUGUUUGAUAAAUAUAAUUUUUAAAUAAUAAUUUGACAAAAAUAAUAUAGGGUCUUGUGUAUAUUUUUAUUUGGCAUUUCAAUUAAUCUGCUUAUAUAUAUAUAUAUAUAAGUUAAUCUAUAUUUCUUGCAAGAAGAUAGUAUUUCUUUAAUUAAAGUCAUAACUAAUAUAUAAAUUAUCAACUAACCAUCAAACAUUUAUCUCAUUUUAUCUCCACCACGAUCAUCACCAUUCAUCCUGUCACGAUCUUUAUGUAACUACAAUUAUUUUUUCUUUAAUAAUGUCAACCCACCAACCCCAUAACAAUAUCUCCAAACAUCUCAUCUCAAAAUUCCUAAUAACAUAAGUGUUUAUGUAUGAAAGAAAAUGUGAAAUAUAUAAUCAAAAAGUAGUUUAAUAAUAUAAUGUUUAAAAAUUAUGGUAAAAAUAAGUGAGAGUUUGGCAUGGCAAGUUAAUAAAAAGAUAAAAGCUCGGACACUUGAUGCAUCAAAGUAGCAAUGUCUGUCCAUCAUUAUCAUCAUGCGGGUUUAGGUGCUUCUCAUGAUAGCAUUAGCUGGUAAGACCAUCAUGCAUCGUACUUUCAUUGUUAUACAUUUUGAAGGUAAGAAUGGUUAUGUUACGUCCCUCCGAUUAGGUGUAUUUUUCUUCUUCUUCUUCUUCUUUUUCUUCUUCUUGUACGUAAUAAUUUCUCUUUCUUCCAUGAAGAUUUCUUUCUCUCUUUCUUUUUUUUUUUUUUAUUAUAAAUAAAAUGAUAAGAACUAAUUUCCUUACUAAUUGGUAGGGUCGUUUAAUGGUUCAGAUCCAUUAGAUUUUGUCAAAUUCAAGUCCAAUCCAUCAUAUAUUCCAUUUUAUAUUCCGGAUCCGAUCACUAAUAGAAAUCCAUUAUAAUUUAAAACAAUAAAACGUCGAAUCCAAUUUAAUUCGAUAUGAUCAAUCCAAUUAAAAUAAAAAUUUACAAAUAAAAAUCAUUAGUUGCUCUCUCCAGUUAUAAUUCUUAACAAUUAAAAAAAAUACAAAAUAUCAACUCCUUUAAUAUUUCAUGAUUCAUGUACUUUAUUAUCAUAUGGUUGGAAAAAAAAGUUGAAAUUUGAAUAUUAAAAGCAAAUGUUGGUUGCGACCUGCUGUUUGUAUUCUAUAUUGUUAUAGUAUAUUUAUAGUUAUUUUUUUAGCAAGUUAAAUAUAAAAGUGACAUAUAGUUUUUUUUUAUAAAAAAAAAUAAAUAAAGAAAAUAAAAAAUUAAUUGGUUGGAUUGGUUUAUAUUGGAUUUGAACAUAUAGAUCCAUAGACCAAUCUAAUAACAUUAUAUUUUUUAUUUUGCAAUCUUAUCCAAUCCAAUCAAAAUGUCAAUAUGACAAAAGUUGGAUUGGUUUUGAUCAGAUCGAUUGGUUUGAUUGGAUUGAAUUGAAUUAGAUCUUGAACAUCCUACCAAUUAGACUUUCCGUGAUUUUUUUUUUUCCAAAUUUAAUAAAGAGACUUCCCAUGAAUGUUAAAUGCAGUUUUAUUGAUGAAUUCUGCAAUUUUAAGAAAUGUUUGAUACACGAAUAAUGCAUCUCAUCAACCAAGUAACUGCGUCCCCUGCAGCAGCCGCGGCUUCAACUGGAAUACUGCAGCCACACCGGUCUUGAGACUCAACAUUCGGCCGAAACUCAAGCAAAAGUUGAACAAUAUCAGGCCUGCUUUGAGCUAUAGCAAUAUGAAGCAAUGUUUGUCCCUGCGCACCAGCAGAAUCAGCUGGGUGGGUUCCAAGCAGGGUCACUCUGUUCAAGAACCUCUCUUAUCUCAUCCAUUUCACCAUCCUUAACUAGCUGAACCACAACAUGGGACCCAACAAACAUGAUCUUGAUUCCUAUUGAUGAACGCUGGCUUCUUCCUUCUUGUGAACCAGUCACCAGGAACCGAAUCAAGCAUCAAUGUUGCAUCUUUAAUUGCAGCUGCAGGAACGACAACGCUAUGCAAGAGGAAGGAAUCAUCACAGUGAGGGAAAGUAUGAAGGAGAACUGAUCCUGGAGGAAGAUGAUACGCAAUCUCUAUGCUUACUGUUCCGAGUGGUUGCAUUGACCUGAAUAGUUCGAUCUAUUUCUCGUGUAUCUACUUGCGCUGCACUUUCACUCGAAGAACCUACAAAAUUAUUCAUAACCCGGCAUAAAAAAGACGUAAAGUUUUCAGCGCGAGCAUGGUAACUUCAAAACCCGUUUCAUACCUAUCAUAUUUCAUUCGUCCCGCACCCUCAUUUAAAAGACUAGAGCUUAUAAAAACUAGAAGUACCUUACCCAGAACAUAAAAGCAGACAAAACCCAGUCGAGUAUAAAUAUAACGUUGAAUAACACCUACCAUUUACCAUUUCAUUCAAGAACACCACACAAUUAACGAAACCAACAUCGGUAUGUUUUCAGCCGUUGUACUUUCAACUUAAUUUUGAAAGCGCGGCAGCUAAAGCCUAAACUGUUGUUUGAUAAAAGUCCACCCACUGACUGCUACCUGGCGGCUACCGAUUCCAUUCAAUAGCAGUCAUAAAAUAAAAAGUACAAAACAAACCUAUGUACAAAAAAGGCAAUGAAGCAGCCAUGGAUUCAGUUAUUUGCAUGUUUGGGAUUGUGGUUGAUUCCAAAUUGAGAAUAUACUGCGAAAUUAUGUUUGAUAAGCAUUUAUCUGAUGAUUGCUACUUUAUUGAGUGCCUGUUUGGUAUGGCUUAUUUAAAAGCCAUAAGUGCUUAUUUAAUCGUAUAAGCACUUUUUUAAAAUUUUUAUGGUGUUUGGUUAUUUUUUUAGUAGAGUUUUUUUAGCUUAAAUAAGCUAAUUUACCUCUACUAGCAAAAGCCCAAAAUUUGAGCUUUUGGGAGUAGAGGUUAAAGAGCUUAUCUAAAAAAUAUAUAAUAAAAAAAAUAUCAUACAGUUUAAUGAUUCAAAAGUGUUUUUUUUAUUGACAACCAAACACCCAAUGACUUUUUGUCCAAAAACUCUAUUGGUAUAAGCUCUAUUGUUAUAAGCUCUAUUUAAUAAGCUGUACCAAACGGAGCCUGAGUCUUCAAAGAAAAACUCAAUCAACUAAUGCUCGAUUUUUUUUUUUAAAUGACAAAUCAAAAAGUAUUUUGGAGUAGAUUCUCAAAAGAGUGAUUAUUUGAUAAUCCACCAUAAUCCCACUUAGUUAUCAGAAAUAAAUUAAAAUCCGACGAAUGUUACUUAAGCCAAACAGCAUUAUUUUAUUUUGACCACAAGGACCACAACCCUCAAGCUGUCAAGCAACCGUUACCGUUAACGACCAAUCUUUCACCUCUCCGAAUCUUUGCAAGUCACUAUCAAGCAACCGUUACUAAUAUUUAAUCAAUUAUUAGGAUUAUUGGAUUUCUCAAAUACCUUAUGUACUUUGGUUCACUUUCUACUAAAAUAAAUAUUACAGGAGCUUUCAAAGUCUAGGCUAAGGUUGUUGUAAACAUAGAGAGAUUCAGAGAUAUAACAGCUUGUAAUUACAUACCACAAAGCAUAACUUUGUUCGAAUGAUAAUGAUCAUAAUCCAGAUUAUAGACGUAGAGAGAGGAGAAGUCGUACUUGAGGGGCAAAACGCGGCGUUUUGGCUCGUGGAUGAGGUGCUGCUCCUGAUCGUCGUAGAUUGAAGGGAGGAGAGGUCGGUCGAGGAAGUUUAGGAGACGGUGGAGGCUGAAUUGGUGAAUUUCGAUGAAGACUGACGAAUCCAAUGGGGCUUGAGGGUUUGAUUUGCAAAGAUGAAAGAUAAGAGCAUUGUUUUGGUUUCUGUGCAAAAAAAAAAAAAAAAAAACAUGACAAGCGUUGUUUUGGUUUUGGUUCUAAAAAGAUGAAAAUUUGACUGCAAUGGAUCCAUACGCAGUCGGUGUCAAAUAAGAGGAGAAACAAAUAUGUUAAUCACUCGCUCAAUCACUCAUGCGAAGUGCCUUUUUUUUCGUUGCUUUGGCUUCUGAGAAAUAUAUGCAUCAGAUAUUACAACUCUCGAGGAUAAUGCAUUUUGUUCCGGUUUUGACUGAUAUUUAGUGGCAUUUGAUAAACUGAUACCUCAGAACCUGGUAGAGAGUUUAUUAAAUACAAAGAGAACAAAAAUAUAUGACUAUAUAAGCUUUUACACGGUUGAAGAUCCGGUCAAAUUGGCUUUAGUUAGCAAGAUCAUUUAAAACUUUCAAAAAACGAAUGGUAUCAAAAAGCUCUGAGAAAAAGCGGAAAAAAGGCACCACAAAGAUCUUGCAAUUAUUAUCACAGCUUGAUAAGACAUGGAAAUGUAUCUUACAAAUUGGCCUUCCAAGCAUCAAAGAAUUGGGUGGCGACAACUCCCAUUCCUAGCUGCUACCGUGGCCAGUCCCUUCUAACUAAAAUGGGACAGGACCAAAAGCAAGGUCUCUCCCACUCUCCUUAUGUAUAUAAAAUUCCCUACAUUCGAAUAAAACUACAGAAAAAGAUUUGCACAUCAUCUUCUUUCACCUUAUUUUGCAAUCUUCAAGAGUUUGGAAGAUUUCAAAGCACUUGUUAGAAUGUAGCACUCCAUUAAGCAUUCUCACCUUCCCCACACCCCAAUGGACCUCCUUAAUCCUAUCGGCAGACCUACAAAUUCUGCUGCAACUCCAAUCAAAUAAAGCAACACAAUUGUUGCCUGCCUAAGCCUUCCACUCACAGCCUGCAAUGACAAGUUCAUGAUACAAAAUCAGAAACAUUAAUAAACAAAAAGAUAUUACCAUUACUUGCAGAGGGGGAUUUGUUGCAAUUAGUAAAUGCCAUACUUAUCACUUUCAUUGCAGAUAUCAUCAUCAUCAUAAUACUAGCAAUCCAGCACUAAUAGUCAGAAUAAUAAUAAUAGUAGCAUGAAUAAAGAAUUUCUGCAGAGUAAGCUCUAAAGAUGCCGAAAGUGUCAUCUAUUAUGUUAAUAAUAAAAAAGUCUAUCAAGAAUUCAAGGAAAGAAAACUCAUUAACAAAGAACUAAACUUUUUAAUAAUGUUUAAUAAACUACGUACCUAUGAUUUUCUAUUAUUAACAUAAAUGACACUACGUACAACUGAUUUUCGCUUUCUAAUGUUUCAAAUCAUACCGAGAAAUAUAACAAUUACCAAGUCAGUAAGUAGCACAAUUACUUAAUAAGACUUUGACUUGUCUAACCCAAAAUUGUACCCAAUUCUAUACUCUACCAUGAAAAGCUUAUGAAGCCGAACUUACUUUGACCAAACAGUACUAUUAGCUCAGUUAAAGGAAACCACAAUUGAACAAAGUUCAGCUGAAAUAACUGAACUAAAAAAACUUGAUAAAAUUAAAAGUAACUUAUAACAGUUUAGUAAAGAAGCAUACAAAACAUGAAGAUAAAUAAACAUAGGUCUAUUUUCUUGACACUACCAGGUCCUUUCCUUUUUUUUUUUUCAGAUAAGAUCUCGAUACUACCAAGUUUUGGAUUCAAAAUCACCAUAUUACAAUAAUAGUUGUGAUUCAUGGGAUACAAUAUGUAGCAGCUUAUAUGUCGGCAAUUAUAGUCAAAGAUGGUUGUCAAACAUCAUCGCAAAUCAAGAAGCUAAUAAAGACCAUGUCACACUACAUUAACAUAUAUCAGUUCUUUGAUACAAAGAUAUUGAAUGUUAUACAUUUCUAAUCCCAAGUCCUGAAAUACAAAACAAAAGUUCACUUCACACAGUCAUAAAGCUAGACUGCUAGAUAAAUGGACAAUAGGCAUUGGAUAUGGGUCAAUAAACUAUUAAGCUAAUUAAUGCACACGAAGGAAUCCGUUAGAGCUAGUAAAAUAGCCCUUACCAGAGAACUCGCAGAAGCAUUCAAUUUCCUCAAAGGAGAUAACUUACAACAUAAACAUUUUGAUAAGCAGCAACACACAUAAAAUAGCUUCACUCACUAGCAACAGAGCAACUUCUUCAACACAUUAAUAAAUCCAUUUUCAUUUUUAAACAACAAAAUAAUGCCCAGUUUCUCCAGCACAAAUAGGGUAAGCAGUAAUAGAAAAACAUGAUACAUAGGAAUUACCGGCCUCAAGAAAUCUCCAAGCUUUCUGUCCUCUGCUUCAAUUGCUCAAUCAAGAAUGCCCCAGACGUUGCGCUAGCGUGGUGGUGGAGCGUCGCGAAGCGUGUGGCGGCGGUGUCGGCGAAGGCAGGUCAUGAAGAUAGUUGGUGUCGCGCAGCGAAGGCAGUGCAGCUGGUGUCAUGCGGCGAAGGCAAAUCGCGUGGUGGUGGAGUUGGGGUCGCGCGGCAGUGGCGGUGCGGUGCUGAGGCAUAAUAGUGGCGGUGGCGUUGUGCGACAGUGGCAGUGUGGAGGCAGAUUGCGUGGAGCUGGCGGUGUUGAGGCAGAUCGCGUGGAGGCAGAUGCCGCGGUGGUGGAGUUGCUGUCGCGAUCAACGCCUGUGAAAGGGAAUGAAAGUGAAGGAGAUACCUACAAAAGAAAGAACGAGUGAAAUUUUUUUUUUUGUUCAAGGGUUUCAAACCCACAUAAACCCGACUCUCACACGGGUUCAGUAAGUUUAUGCGGGUUUGACUGCAUUACAAAUUGGUAUGACCACAACAACAGUACAAUGAUUGGUAAUUACCAAACAUGCUAUUUAUGUUGGUAUUAAAUUAAUUUAAUACAAUGAGGAGUGGUAAUAUCAUACAAUGAGGACUGUUAAAUAUGGUGUGUUUAAUAUGUUGUAUUGUAUUAUAUUAUUUUAAUACAAAUAUAUUAUAUUAUCUUGUAUUAUAAUAAUAUUAUAUAAUAUUUUGUGCUACAUUGUGUUGUAUUAAUUUAUAAUUAUAAUAUAUUUAAUGUUGCACCACGCUGUACUAAUUUUUUUAGUAAUCAAUUUAAAUUAUAUAUUUUACAAAUAAUAUUUAUUAAAAUACUUAAAAAUGCUAAAUAUGAAAAUAUUGAAUUUUAAAAAUUUAAUAUUAUUUUUUUAAUAUAAAUAUUAAAAAAUAUCAUAAUUCUUCAUAGAAAUCGAAGUUCAUGGCAUUAAAUUUUUAACGCCGCAUACAUAAUAAAAAAUUUGAUUCUCUAGUGCCAAUAUAAUAGAAUACAUAAAAACGAGACUGAGAAACUACGAAUAAAGCUCAUCAUCAAGGACUCCACAACAUUAUAAGAAGUACUAUGUAACAUUUGCCAAAUUACAACACCACAUCAAGACAUAUCACAAUGUAAAAUUUUUCCUAGAGAUUUGGUAAUUGAAAAACACAAUUCAAGUUGAAAACUGAUAGUCGACUUGAAAAGUUUUAACAUAUCCCAUAAAAGAAAUGUGCCAUGCCAAAAAUCCUAACCCUUGGCUCUUUGACGAUAAGAAAAUAUUGAAAAUUCCAAAGUACAGUGCAAUGGGAGAAAGAAUGCCUAUAAAGCUAGUAAAGAUAUUCUUAAACUACUAUUGGGAUGUUGGGCUGGUUGGUAGCAAAACCCAAACCCUGCUGCUGAUUUCCGAUACCACCAUCUUGGAUAAGCCGCUCUCCCUCCUCUUCCUAACUCCUAAGCCCAAUAUCUUUCCAAAACCUUCACAACCCACUCAUAAAUCUCAUUGUUGUCGUGGAUAUGCAAAUUCUCAAUCUUUUCUACUCCAUCACACUCAUCAAUCAUUUGGGUAUAAACAUUAACCCAAUUAUCCAUUCCUAUUUCCUUGUUAACCUCACCCACCUUGAAAAUGUUCUCAAGACCCUAUAGACAAACUGUGACGAUCCUUUGGUCCAGACAAACCAGAAGAUCACAGAGCGGUUUGAUGCAACCUUGGCUCACCAGGAAUCUGCAGGACCAUGGUACCAUAAGUGAUUCUAUCACAUGAACAUCAUUAGAUUAAAAAAAGAAAAAAAAAAGAAACAUCUAUCGUAUGAACAUUGCUGAGUGAAUAAAAGAAACAUACUGAAUAUGUUCAUGAGAUCCUCCAUAUGUGGCAUUUAAGACAGGCCAUGCAGCCUCCUUGAUUUCAAGUUCUGCAUGUUGAAGAAGAGGUGCACAAAAGGAAGGAUAAGGAAGGAUGAUAUUGGCCUCCAUAACAGCCUGUUGAACAAAAAUUCGACAAAUUAUAAUUAUGAGUAUAUUUAAGUAGCAAUUUUGUCAGAAUUAACUAGACUUGACUAUUGAGGAAGUCACAUUCAAAAAUAGAAAAGACGAGCAAGCAAUUGUAUUCAUGCUAUCGGGACCAAAAUACUAUGAUGCAAGCAAGAAAGAAAAACAUACAUACAUAUAAAACACUAUCUUUGAGUUGGGUAUUUUCUUUCAAUUUUGAUAAUGGCAACUUUGGAUUCUUCUGCUGAAUUACCACCACCACCACACCAUUGUAGUUUCACAUACUAAGAAAAGGCAGGUUCAGCUCCCGUGCAUGCCCAUAAGAAUAUGAUGUAUUAAUUAGAAGUAAAAUUAAUCUGUUCAAUUAAGUUCUCUCAUAUAUUUGUGUGCGUGUGUGUGUUAAUUAGUUUGCUUUCAAAUCUUUUCUCCCUUCUUAAUGAUAUAUAUUUUAAGCAUGAUAUCAACCACGAUGAAUUUAUUAGCCGAUUUUUAAUUAUACAUUCAGCAUGAUAUCACAAACCAAGAGCUUAAGUUAGCCUAAUUCUUCAUAAAUCUAAUAAUUGCAAUCAAUAAUAAUGCUGAAAAUACGAGUUUGAAUUAAGCUAGCAACUGGUUCUUAAAUUAUGCAAUAUGUAAUCAUAGGUUUACUUAAAGAUUAAAGCAUUUCUGCAAUCCAUUGUGCAAAAAGAUUAAAAAAAAAAAAAAUAGUUGCCAAAUUUUAUCUAAAUAAAAAUUCCUUUAGUGGUUAGUACUUGUGAAUUAUAGAAAUUAUUAUUAGUACUUGCUCAGCGCUUUUUAGAUUUGUACAGGUAGAUUACGCCAUUUCAAACCCGACCAUCCAUUUAGACAUACAAAUCCCCCCAAUUCCCUGUCCUCCGCCUUUACGCGACUCUCCACUGUAUGUGCCAACUAAUUAAUUUUUUAAUUACUUGUUUAACUAAUUAAUUCAUUUUCUCAAAAGCAAGAUUAAUCUAUUUGUUCAAAUCUGAAGGAGAUUAAGUUAAUUGAUUUUAUUGUAUGUAAAAAUAUACAAAGAACUCAUGAAGCCAACUAGAAAAAAAAAAAAAGACAAAAAAAAAAUCAAACCCAGAAAUAAAAAGACAUGCUUCGACAGAAAAUUAAUGAAAAUUAUACUGAUUGUGGUUCAAUUUGAUCAAACCCAAAUAAUAACCGGUUUGAUUGAUGACUCAGCGGCAAAGUGCAGGCGCAUCAGUGGUUGCACAGAUGAGUGUUCUCGUGCGGCACGACAAAGCAAUUGUCGGCGAUUGUGAUUGGUGAUGACAUCGAGCGAUGGGGGUAAUGGCAUCGGUCGUGACUUUGUGAUGGAGAAACGAAUGUUAGAUUCGUUCGAAGAUUCGUGUUUUGAUUGAAUAACAAAGAGAGAUUUUAUGAGUUUUAAUUAUCUAAUACGAUACCGCAUAAACCCGACUCGUACGUGGGUUUAUUUUAUGCGGGUUUCGGUGUACUAAAGCAGUAAAUUUAUGUGGUGCAAUUCAAACUGAUUUCACCGCCAAAAGAUCGUGUAAAUUUAAUAUUAUACAGGGUUUUAAUACUAUGUAAUCCAAUACACCAAACAUGCCCUUAAAAACGGAUAGCAAUCCGGGGCCUUUAAAAACGGAUAGCAAUCCGGGGCCUUUAAAAACGGAAAAUACAAGCAGAGAAAAAGAAAAGCCAAUUGUUCAAAAGUGCCUAAUAUGCCCACGGAAAAUUUUCGUCACGACCCACAGUUACUCGAAUAGGUAAUAAGACAGGAAUGCCUUUGUUUGUUCGAAUAUAGAAGCACAAUGGCUCAGAAAGGAUCCCUCCAAUCUCCUUGGCACUGUCAGCUGGGUGCGGAGUAGCUUGGUGGCAGCAACCAUGUUUGAGAGGGCUGGCUUCACCUCAGUGUACUUGCGAGUCUUGAGACCACAGUCAGGGUUAACCCACAAAAUGUUGGUUUCUAGCACAGUACGCAUCUCGUAGAUUCUGUCAACAAUUUCUUCGGUUGAUGGUAUUCUUGGAGAGUGGAUGUCAUAGACGCCAGGGCCAAUUGCAGCAUCAUACUGGACUCCCUCACGGAAGACUGACAGGAGAUUCUCAUUAGAACGAGAGUUCUCAAUGGUGAUCACAUCAGCAUCCAUGUCGAUAAUUGAGUGGAUAAUGUCGUUGAAGUUGGAGUAGCACAUGUGGGUGUGGAUCUGUCAAUCAAUAAACAAUAGAAUGAGAUACAAAAUCAACAGCUAAAUUAAAGAGAUGAGAUUGGAGAUUAAAAGGGUAACUGACCUGGGUAGUGUCCUGGAUGCCACAGUUGGUGAUUCUGAAGGAGUGGACUGCCCAGUCCAAGUAGAAAGCAUGCUCAGAUUUCCUGAGAGGCAAUCCUUCCCUCAAGGCAGCCUCAUCAAUUUGAAUAACGUUAAUGCCUGCCUUCUCAAGAUCCUCGACUUCGUCCUUGAUGGCCAAAGCAAUCUGGUAGCAGGUUUCAUGUCUGCAAAAUUGGCAGCGAUUGAUGUUAAACAAUGUUUCCAUUCCAAAAGGUUAACCAAUAGUGAACCAGUUCUCAUUUAUAUACCUGGGCUGGUCAUUUCUGACAAAGGACCAGUUGAGAAUGGUGACAGGGCCAGUAAGCAUUCCCUUCAUUGGGCGAGCAGUCAUGCUCUGAGCCCAGGAGGACCAGAAGACGGUCAUAGCCUUGGGACGGCUCACAUCACCAUAGAUGAUGGGUGGCUUCACACAGCGAGAUCCAUAGGAUUGCACCCACCCAUUGGCAGUGAAGGCGAAACCUGAUAACUGCUCUCCAAAGUACUCAACCAUGUCGUUUCUCUACAAAAACAAAUGUCCGAAUUCAAUUUGAGAUCCAGCAUACUUCGUAUGCAAUUAGAAAUGCAGAAACAAAAAUGUAUAAAAUUUUAUGUAAUUCAAAACCAGGAGACAUUGCUUUGCUUCCAUUGGGCAUUGCGAGACUCACCUCAGGCUCUCCAUGGACAAGGACAUCAAUAUCAAGCUCUUCUUGGAGUUUGACAACCUUGUUGAUUUCCUCCUUGAUGGAAGCAACAUAUUCUUCCUCAGAAAUCCUAAAAAGGACAAAUAGUCACGGCACAGUUAAUACAGUAGUUGCAGUAAUUUCACACAUGGCAUUGAAUGAAGAAACACCUCAGAUUGACUCACUUCUUAGCCUUGUAUUCACGGCGGACUCUCCUAAGUUCAAUGGUUUGUGGGAAGGAUCCAAUUGUGGUGGUUGGGAGGAUUGGAAGAUUGAGCUUCUUCUGUUGAGCAUCUAAUCUAGCACUAACGUUUGUAGCACGUCUGUGGUCUGAUCCCCUCAAAGCAGCAGCCUAAUAGACCAAGAGGAAGGAAUCACUGUUAGCAAAAAAGGAAAUUCUAAGGGACAGCCACAUCAUAAAAAUGGAAAACAAAUCAAUCAUGCCACUUACAGCCUUUUGAACUGCCUCAUUGGUCACUCUCGGGGAGGACUUUCUUGAAGCCUGAGCUGCAGCAUUGGCAGAGAAGAAUCCCUGGAAACAAAUGAUAAGGAGAACCAAAGUUAGUCUCAUUCAUAUCAUUUUAAAAAGAAGAUACAUAUGCAAUUAGUGGGCUGAUUGUGAGAGAAAAAGUCCCCAAAACUUUAAUCAAACACCAAAUGCCCAAGUUGCCAAAUGAUGUUUAAUUCGGAAAAAUAUAUUUAAAAACAUUCAAAUAUAAUUUCCCCUUCUAAAUUUUCAUUUUCAACAACAUAUUUUACAAGCCAAGCUCAACGUCAGGCCAAGAUUUUGUGCUCCUAUAAUUAUAUUUUACCAUAAAACUAGGUCCUUGAAAGGCUAAGAUUUUCUGACUCUUGUGACUAGUCAAAGCCUAAGAUUCUUUCAAUUCAUCCGUAGUAAAAGUAUACCUCAUCCUUUUGGCCAGCCAAAGCCUUGGCCAAUGCAUUGACUUCAACAACUUUCUGGGCAGCAAAUGCCAGCCAUGACUUGAUUUCGUCGUCGAGUUUGUUCUCAUUAACAAGAUCAACAGCAGUGUGAAGAAGUGAGCAGGAGGUGGAGACCACAAGCUUGUCUGCAAAGAAAAGUAAUAAAUUAUACAACAAAUCCCAUAAUAGAAUAAGAAAUAUUUAUCACAAAGAAAAAUGCAAGCAAAGGAUGUAUACCUUUGCCAACAACACCCUCAAGCCCCCGGAGAACACUAAGAGAAGCAGCAAGAUCAUUGGCCCAAAUGUUCCUUCCAUCAACCACUCCAGCAAAGAGGUACUUGCCAGCAGGGAAUCCACUCUUGAUCAAUUCAAGGGUCUUGGUUCCACGAACCAAAUCAAAUCCAUAAGCGGUGACACCCUUCAAAGAAGUGAGGGUCUGGAAUGCCUCAGCUGGAACAUCAGCAAAGUAGGUCUCAACAAGAACAUUCAAGCCAGACAGAGUUGACUCUAGUUCCGCGUAAGCCUCACUGAAUGCUUGCAAUUUGUGUGAGUCAAGAUCCGUAACAAGCAAUGGCUCAUCAAACUGAAUCCAGGAAGCACCAGCAGCCUUAAGCUCAGAAACAACUUCCCUGCAGAAGUGUUAAUUGGUACGACACGGAUUAAUGAUGCCACACGAUACACACACACACACACACACACACACACACACACACAGACAGAGUUAUUUAGCACAUACACGUUUAUAAAUCUGUAAAUAGGUGAUAAUUCUUACUUGUAGAUCGGAAGGAUUUUGGGAAGAAGAGAGAGAACAGAAAAGGUCUUCUCAACCCCCCAGGCAGGCUUAGACAGCAACAAGUAUGACACAGGGCCAAUAAGCACUGGGACAGUUUCAACUCCAUGCUGCAGCAUUAGACAAGUGGUAGAUAUUAGCAUCUCACAAACUUGAUCUGACUGAUAGAAAGUUACAAGCAAGUUAAGAAUAUGUUUGAUGAAAUUUCAAUGAAAAAUCUUCAGGGUCCACAACAUGUUGACUAUACCCUUUUUAAGUAAUUUAUCUUAAGACUAUUUUGCAAACAGUAUUGCUUCCCUUUACAGAUCAAAUAAAUCAUACAACAUCUGAACGCAUUUCCUGAGCCAAAUAUAAGUUCAAAGCUCUAUAAUAAAUGUCAAUGACUCUAUAGUAAAUUCCAUCACAUUCUGAGCUAUGGAUGAGCAUAUCAUAUGCCAAUUUCAAGUUGAACGUAACCCAAUUUCAACAUAUUGUAGAUUCAAGUAUCAAACGAAAAAAAAAAUAUUGUAAAUAUAGACAGAACUGAGAACAAACACUCACCCCCUUAGCCUCCUUGUACUCAGUCACAGCCUUGUGGGAAGCGUAGGAGAACUUAACAUCGGGUCCCAAUUCAGGAACAAUGAAAUGACUGCAUCAACACGAAGCCAAACACACGUCAGCAUUCAGUACAAAACCAUUACACCAUAACUAACUUGAAAUGCCGCUCUUCCAAGUAGUGAAUACUUACUAGUUGGUGUCGAACCACUUGGUCAUUUCCAUUGCGAGAACAGAGGCGUUUCCUCUGGCCAUGGAGAAGUAAACAUCGAAUCCAAUCUCGCCGCCGUUCCAGUUAAACCUCGGGGGCACGGCACCGAGCAUUGCGGUGGUGUCGAGCACUUGGUCGUAGUAGGAGAAAGUGUUGCUGGGAAUGUAUUUGAUCCCGGCCUCGGACAUCUGUUUCCAGAUGGAGGAUCUGAGAUCAGCGGACACCUUUUGCAAAUCCUCGGCGCUGCUCUUGCCAUCCCAGAAGGAUUCCAACGCGAACUUGAGCUCCCUCUUGGGGCCCAUGCGUGGGUAACCAACGAUGUGAGAUGCCAUUUUACUGUCAUAAUCACGUCAUCAAUGAAUCGAAAAUCAGUCCCUUCCAUUAAAUCAAGAAAUUAUUAAUUCAAAUGAAUGGAUCACAUUGUAUAUAUAUGGGAUAAAUAUAAUUAUGAACAAAAGCGUCUAAUCAAUCACAAAAAGCAAGCGACUGCAUCAAAUUUAGGGAUCCGACCCGACCCGACCCGAUCUGUAAAUUCCGGUUUCAAUCGGAUUAAGAUGAAACCUCUAACCCGAUAUAGUUGGAUUUUGGCCAACUCGAUCGGAUCAGAUCGGAUCGGAUUAAACUUAGUCCAAUCCGAAAAAUUCAAAAAAUCAAAACUACAAUAAGUAUAAAUCUAAAUUUUCAAUUCAAUUUGAUCUAAUCUGAAUAUAUUCGAAUCGGAUCAAAUACUAUGCUCUGCUUAAACUUGGAUUAUAUUUUUUUCAAUUUGAUUAACCUAAAAUUCGAUUGGAUAGAUCCAAAACUGAAUUUAUCUACCCCUCAGUCAUCAAUCAAUUACAAAACCUAAAAUCCGAUUGGAUAGAUCCGAAACUGAAUUUAUCCACCCUUAAGUCAUCAAUCAAUUACAAAGGCGACUGAUGUUUAUACAAUGGACAAUUAUUAAGUUACAGCUCUUGUAAUUUACAACUUAUACAAAAAUAUGUGAAAAAUUGUGAUAGGCAGUACAGUGUCAUGAUUUUAUACAAAAAUAUGUAAACAAUUGUGAUAGACGGUAGAACCUCAUGAUUUUAUAAAAAAUACGUAAAAAGUUGGGAUAAGUAAUGGAGCCCGCAUAAUUUUUUAUCAGCUGCAAGUUGCAAGUUACAGCAACUGUAACUUAGCGACCCCGACUUCAAUGUAAAAUGAGAAAGUACUCCUCCGCAUAGUACCUGAUGCUCAAAAGUCAAAUCACACGAAAUGCAAAUAGACUUAUCAGAGCAUAAAACCUUAUAUUACUUUUUGAAAAACGAUUUGAAACAAGGGCAAAAUUACAGUGUAACCGUACUUAGUCAUUGAAUUCAGCUCACAAUUAUCAUUAUAGUUAGAUCUAAUAACUAGAUCCAACUGUAUCCACAGUUAUAUUGUAGUUAGAUCUGAUAACUAAAUCCAGAUCCAGCUGUCCCCACAAUUGUCAUUAUAGUUAGAUCUAAUAAUUAGAUUCGGCUGAUUCAGCUGUGAUGUAGUACCCUGUAGUGCCAUAACUGGACAAAGAAACAAACUGAUAUAUUUUCUUUUUUGAAACAAACUGAUACUAAUCCAAGAGUUUCAGAUGAUCGGUUUUUUUUUUUUUUUCUAUAGUCACAUCAAUAAUUAAGUACUUUCAGUCAUUUUCGAAGGAUUAAAACGAAAACUCUAAAAAAAUUCUGAGAAUGAAGAAUCCGAAAAUAGAUUCAGAAAUAGUAACACAAGUAGAGGUCAGAUUGUUUUUUGGAAAAGAUUAAUUGCAGAUCUGAUGAACUCAAGUCUAGAUCUAGCAAAAUCACGGCAGCCAAACACUAGAUCUAAGACUAACAGUCACUCACCAGUCGAUCAGAAAGUGAAAUCAAGUUCAAAAUUAUUUUUAAGCUAAUUGUUUUUUUUUUUAAAUGAACAGAUUUUGGUUGAGUAUUAGUGAGUUUUUUACAAAUUUUUUUUUUCAGAUCUAAAAGUUCGGAAAUCAAAACCAUGCUCAAUGUUUUUCGGAAAAGAUUAAUUGCAGAUGUAUUCAAGAUCGGAUCUAGCAAAAUCACGGCAGCCAAACACUAGAUCUAAGACUAACAGUCACUUACCAGUCCAUUAGAAAAUGAAAUCAAGUUCAAAAUUCUUUUUUUUUAAUAGAUCCAAAAGCUAAUAUACAUAUAUAUAUGGCAAAAUAUAUAUACCGUACCCGAGAAGGACGAGCAGAGAAAUUAAGCUUUUUUCGAGAGAACGAGAAAGAAGAGAGACGAGACUGUUAGAAAUUGCUGUCAGUUUAAUUUUUAUUUAUAGCCAAAAACCUAACCUUGUUUAGUGGUUACUGGUUACCGUCUUCGGCGGUGUUGAUCUGAGAUUUAUCAUUUUAAUUUCUUUCUCUUACUUAUUUAUUUAAUUUGGGUCCAACUACGGUGAAACUGUAGUACCGUGCUACAGUUAUUUUCAACCGUUUGAUUCACUUGGAUGGUGGGAUCCAAUAAAAUCCAAUAACUGGGUGCAACCGUAGCACGGUGCCGCAGUUGCACCACAGUUUUUCCCAUUUAUUUAUUAUGCUUUCAGUGCAGUUGGCAAAAACAUGGAGCUUACGCGCGCUUUUCUGAUGUGGCGCGUGAAUUGGAAAUGUGGUAGAUCUUUGUGGAUCCGCCGGUGCAGUGAAGAGUGAAGGAAAAAAGAGAAAAGUUAUCAUGCCAGAUCAUUUGAAGAGAGCCGCAAUUAGUAAUUACACCACAAUAUAUUUCUGAUUAUUUGCUUACUUUGAUGAUGUUUUUACUGAUUAGUAAUUGGAAUAUGUUAGAAUCUAAAUAUAGUAGAAUCAUAAUAGAGUUGAAUCAAAAUAGACUAUAAUUAGAAUGGAUAAUGGGAAUUAGAAGAAUUAUUUGCUUUAGUUGUGAGAAUCCAAAUUGGAAUGAACUAUAUUGUCGUUGAUAUGUUUACUUUAUCAUAGAAUAUGAAUGAAUUAUUACAAGUUACUAAACAGACCUUAAGUUGAUUAUUGUCAUUAUUUAUUUAUUUAUUAUUAUUAUUAUUAUUAUCAUCAUCAUCAUCAUCAAAAUUAUUAAUCUUAUUAUUAAUGUUAAUUAUAAUAAUUAAUAAUUAUAAUAGUAUUAUAAUAAUAAUAAUAAUAAAAGCAAUCAUAAAAUGAGAAUUUCAAGAUUUAAGUAGAGAUAAUAUAAUUAUUUUAGAAAAUGAGAAUUUCCAUGAGAAUGUGAACUCUAUUAAUCAUUCCCAAUUUGAAGUGGGGCCUGCCAUUUUGAUUCAAUCUCUCAUUUAAGCAAGUAAAUACGACAUUUAUUCUCAUUCCCUCAUUCCCACUCUCAGGUAGCGUUUGUUUUUUAACUUAAUGACUUAAAGUGACUUAACUUAAUUAAUUAAGUUAAUUAGAGGUGUUUAUUUUUAUAACUUAAUGAGACUUUUUAGAUAAUUUUGACUUAAUAAAAUGAGCCAAUUUUUUUUGGCUUUUUACUUAAUGGAGAAAUUUGAAUUUAGUCAAUUACUUACUAAUGUCAAAAAUAUCUAUGUUUUAUAAUUUAUUUUUCAUGUCUAUCCCAAAACUCACCCAUAGACAUUUACCCCACAUAAAAAUAUCCCUAUUUUUUCUUUCUUAUAUUAUAUACGAUAAAAUUUGAAAUUUAUGGUAUUUUAUAUAUUAAAAUUCUAAAAUAAUUAUGUAUUCACUUGAAUAUAGUUUUACUUAUAACUGUUAAAAUAUUGUGGUAUUUAAUAUAUUAUUUAUUUGACAUUAAAAUUUAAUAAGGAUACAAAUGUAAAAGUACAUAUUUUCAGUUUUUUCAGUUAAAAAAAAAGCAACUUAAUACUUAUUUUUCGAGAUUCAGACGAAAAAAUAAACAUAUUAUUCAUAUUCAGACAUUUAGAUAUAUUCAGAAUUCAAACUAAUUCAGGUCUAUUCAGAUUUUAGACAAAAAAAACAAACGCCACCUCAAUCAAUAAACACACCAUAAAUGUAGAGUUGUUACUAUUAGAAUACAUUAUAAUUCAUCACAAUUAUGAUAGGUAUAUACGUGUGUAAUAAUUUAUAUAAGAUGCUAAAUUUUGAAAAUAAUAAAAAAUCAUUUAUACAUAUUUAAAAAAAUCAUUAAUACAUUAAAAUGUGCAUCACAUAUACAUUUACAUAAUAGCAAUGACCAUAGUAUAAAAAAAACUCCUAAAAGAGAACGACUUCGUUAUUUAUGUUAUUUUAUAUAUUUUUAAUUGAUUAUUAAAAGGAUCAAUUGUUAAUUAUUAUUCUCCAAACAUAAUCACCGUUAAACAUUUAUUCAAUUUAACAAUAGGUAGAUGUUAAAUAAUAUUGGAAUAUUUAAUGAACAAUAUAAUCACUAUUGCAGUUGUUUUUUUUUUUUAGUAAUGGAUUAUUCGAAACUCAAAUUCAUUUUUUAGCCCCCUUACCUCUCUUAAAAUUCAAAUUUAAGUGACUAAACAAAUAAAACUGCUUAAAAUCUAUACGACUACAUCUUUGGGGACCAAUUAAUAUGGAUGUUUAAAUCUUGAUUUAUUAUUAAAUCUUUGAGUUUCAACCACUAAUAACAUCAUCAUCGAUUAAUGACAAAUAAAAUAAUACAUCAUCAAAACCAUUAAACACGUCCAUCAAUAUCAAAAACAAGUAAAAAGUUUAGCAUGUAUUUCAAAUAUACUUUUCAUCCCAAAAGUUGUAGAGAAAGUCUCGAUAUCAAUGUCACUAUGAGACGUAAUUUUAUAUUUAAAGUCAGCGCAACUUAAAAAUUACUAUGAAUGAAUAAUACACCAUAAAAAAAUUAUUUAUAAGUAUUUUCAUCAUGUAUUUUUAUUUAACAAUGGUGACAUUUAUUUUUUAACUUAAUGACUUAAAGUGGCUUAACUUAAUUAAUUAAGUUAAUUUUAGGUGUUUGUUUUUAUAACUUAAUAGGACAUUUUAGAUAAUUUUGACUUAAUAAAAUAGGCCAAUUUUUUUUAACUUUUUACUUAAUAGAGAAAUUUGAAUUAAGUCAGUUACUUUCUAAUGUAAAAAAAUAUUCCUACUUUAUAAUUUAUUUUUCAUGCAUAUUCAAAAACUCACCCAUAGAUAUUUACCCCACAUAAUCUCAUCUUUAUUUUCUUCCAGCCGUCAUGGAAUCCCUCCUCACUUUGCUUCUCUCCUCUAGUUCUUGAAUCUCCCUUUAAUUUCUCGCUAGGCAAAGCACUUGAAUUGGGCUUUUUUUUUUUUCCUUUUCAAUUACGUUUUCCAACAUUCACUUAUAUAAUAAUCAACUAGUUGCUACUCUUUUUAGUGAUAAAAUUUGAAAUAUGGUAUUUUAUAUAUUAAAUUUUCAAAAUUAUGUAUUCACUUAAAUGUAGUUUUACUUAUAAAUAUUAAAAUAUUAUGUUAUUUAAUAUAUUAUUUAUUUGACAUUCAAAUUUAAUAAGGAUAUAAAUGUAAAAGUACAUAUUUUUAAUUUUUUAAGUUGAAAAAAUAACUUAAUAUUUAUUUUCAGAUAUUCAAAUAAAAAAUAUAUUAUUUAAAUUCAAAAAUUUAAAUCUAUUCAAAAUUUAAAGUAAUUCAGGUCUAUGCAUAUUUCAAUCAUAAAAACAAAUGCCACAUGAGUCAUUCAAUUUCUAAUUAAGAGGAUAAAAAAUAGAUUUGGACUAUCCUAAGACAAAAACAAAAAAAAAAACAAAAAUAAGAUUUCCUAAUAAGUGUACUAACGUGGUCACGCGCCUUGAGAAACGCUUGGACCUAACACACUAUUUUAAUCCGAUAUGCAAAAAAAGAAAAAAAAAAAAAAGGAAAAAUUAUGAGAUGUAUAAGUUUCUAGAGACGUGUUAAAUUUUGAUGAAACAAUGAAGAAAGUCGGUGGCCGAAGUUGGUAUGGGGCAAUGCGAAUGGUGGUUGGCCCACGUUGCCCUGUAAUUGGAGUUGUUAUAAUUUUUCUUAUAAUUAAUAGGACUUGACACAGACUGCAGCAUCAGCCGUUGGAUGUGGAGGGAGAAACUAAACAAUAGAAAACCGUAUGGUGGGAUGACGGUAGAUGUUUGUUACAGAAACUGUACCAUAGACAGGUCCUAAUUAAUAAGCUCUACGUUUUGAAACAAUAAAUAAACUCCAGAUGACCAAAAUAUCAUUUCAUACUGCUACCUAGACAUCUUGGCGAGGGUGGGUAAUGUGGGGCCCGGAGCUUGUUUGAUCGUCAAUUAUUCUCUGGUUUGGUGAAACGAAUGGACGGACGAUGGUGAUGGCUUUUAGGAGAUUAGUAUUAUUAUUAUUAUUAUUAUUAUUACAUUGAGAUCGUAAAACAAAAAAUUCAAUUAAUAAUAUAAAAUAUUUAUUUAAUUUAUUAAUUAUUAUAUAUACACAAUAAAAAAAUUUAUAUACAUAUUUAUAAAUGUGUAAAUAAAUUUCAUUCAAUAUUAUAUCCAAUUAAUCAUUUAUAUUUUUACAGCGGUUUAAUAAUAAUAUUUACUAAAUACAUAUGAUUAUUUUUAAAAUUCACAGUAUUUUUAAAAAUAAAUUUUAUAAAAUUUUUAACUAAUUUUCUUUACAACUAACUAUUGAACGGUUUAACUAAUAGUAAUUAUUUUUAAAAUUAUAGUAUUAUCAAAUUAGUCCUAUGUCAAAUUUGUUAUUGCUGUUUUUUUUUUAAUUAAAAAAUUACAUAGUGCAUACGUGCAUAAUAUGCCCAACUCAAAAAUUCACACAAAAUAUACUAUUUAACUUUAAGGCUUUAAUUGAAAAAAAAAAUUAAGAUUAAGAUGAAUAAAUACUAGAACAUAACAAAUAGAUAAACUCUCCCAUUCUUUAAAAAGAUUAAUUUUAUUUUAAACUUACACUUCGAAUUCAAAGUAGACAUUGAUUGAUAAAAUUAUACAAACGGAUCAAUAUUCCUACAUUUUCUUUUUAAUUUCAAAACCAACAGAUAUUGUUUGUUCAUUAUAUGACCUCCAAACAAAUAAUUUCAUUAAUAAAAUAAUAAUGAAAAGUGUCGUGAUGGGUAUAGAGUAAUUAGGUGGCUAAGUUUCUACUUUUCAUUCUAACUCUUGAGGUUGGUAGGCGCGUGGGUGGUCCACAAAACCCGUGGACGGUAGCAUUCAAACAAAGACUGGAGGCACCAGAAAAAUGUCCAAAAAGUGUGAAACCGUGACGUGUUCAACAUGUUAAUAAAUUUAGGCAAAUGUUAAAGUUACGGAGCUGGCUACGUUACAGAAACUGUACGUAACAGCCAUGCAUUUUUUAUUCGUUGGAUCUAGAGACUGAAAUUGGAUGGUUGGGAUUAAAGGCCAGAAUAGAAAUUAAUCACGGGCAACCGUUUUUAACAUUUAGAAGGGUUUAUUUUCAUGCACACCCAAAUAUUUUGACAAAUAUCAAUAUGCACCCAGUAACUUUUUAUGUAAAACCACAUAACCGACCCGUUAACUUUUCUACUAUUGAAUUAAAAAACUAUCAUGCCUCAAUUGAAUUAAAUUGAUCAGGUAAAAUAUCUUUUAUAACUUGUCAAUUUUUACAGUGAAAUAUACGAGUAUUUAGUAAAAUCAAAUUUAUUUUUUAUUCAGUAAUCAAAUUUUUUUAUUUAGUGAAAUCAAAAUUAUUUUUCUUUAGUUGUAAGAUUUUUUUAACAAAAAAAUUCUAAAAUCAGAUUUAACUCAUUUACUAUUUUAAAAAAUGAACUUUUUACUAACCAAACUAGAGUUUAUCUUUAGUCAACAUAUUUUUUUCUCUAAAAUAACCUUUGAUAGAAUUACUUAUAUAAACAUGUCAGUAUCAAAAUUACUUCAUAUUUUACCAUCCAUCAAUUUAAACUAGUGUGAAAUUUUUUUAGUUUGAUAUUGAAAAUAUGAUAGUUGAUGAGAGAAAUCUAAUUCAAAUUUACAGAUAGAAUAGUUUCUUAUAAUUGCGUACAUGGUAUAUCAAAAAUAUUUUUUUGUGAGUUUUUAAAAAAAUUGUGUCACAAGAUGAAAUUAUCUCUUGAUUUUUCAAUUCCUGGAAUUUAUGUAAAACAAUAAACACAAGUAAAUCUUUUGGUUUGUGACUUCUUGAAGGAAUGUUUGGGAACGCACAAGUUCCUCUCUCCUUCAAAAAGAAUGAUAAGUGCAAAUACCAACCUAGAAAAUUGAUUUAUAAUUCAAAGAAGAUUUGAUUGAAGAUGAUUAAUUGAAAUUUAUCUUUGCAUGAUGUCAAACAUUUUUCAAAAUGACUAAGUCAAGUCUCUUUGUUAAUUCAAAUCAAGAAAAAUUAGAAAAAUAUUAAUGCAUAGAAAUUCUACUAAGAGUUAUUUAUGAAAUUCUCAAACGAAUAGAAAUUAAAUUAACAUUUUUAAAUUUUAGUUAUGGGUUUAUUUUAAAAAUGGGUUUAGAAAGAAAUUUGAGGGGUUUAAAGAACCCCGCCCUUUCUUUAAUUAUUCGGUGAAUUUGAAAUAUAUUAAUAAGGUAUAAGAAUAUGUUAUUCUAAUCUUCUUAUGCAAAAUCUAUGCAAUUAAAAAAAAAUUCACCAAACGGUAUUUGUCUUUUUAUUGACAUUUAAUAAUAUUGAUGGCAAAUAUAUACAAUUAUCAAUCAAUUGUUAUCAACUAUUCAAGAUAACUGAAAAACUAAUUGCGUGAAGUUGGAGUAAUGAUUGUUUGAAUUGCCAAGAGUUUUUUUUUAAUAGAAACUAUUGCAAUUCAUAUCAUUAAAAAACUUAAAGACUACAAGUCGAAUAAAAAAUCUUUCCUUAUAAAAGAAUUUGACCAACUCAAAGUACAGUGUUAAAUCCUUGAGAUACAAUGAACCUAAAAAUCCUACUUUGACACACCACAAAUAAUGAAUCUAACUUAACAAUCAAUGGAGAUAAAUCAAUUUUACUAGCAAAAUAUAAGCCAAAACACAAGGCAACGUCUUCACCAAAAUCAAUAUCAUUCAAAUAAUUCCCCUUGUGAACGCCUGAAGCUAUCAUAAAAACAACAAAAAAUAAAAAAAUAAAAACAAGUAGACAAGCAAAAAAAUUCCCCAAUAACAAGUUACCCUACAAAACUUUUCCUUGUAGAACAUACACAGAAACCGCAGCUAUAGGGCUAUCGAAAGUAGGGAUGGCAAUGGGGAGGGGAGGGGAGGGGACCAAUCUCCCCAUACCCAUCCCCGAUAUUUUGCGUAUGUCCCCGUCCCCGUCAGAAUUGCUUGAGAGAAUCUCCAUCCCCUCCCCGAAUAAUAACAGGGGAUCCCCGAGGGUCCCCGGUCCCCGAAUAACUAAUAGUCUAAUACAUUUUUUUUAUUUUUGAUUUUAAAUUAAUCAUAUUAAAAUAAAAAAUUCAGAUAAAAAUAAAGUUCAAAAUAUAUCUUACAUUAAUAUUGAUCCAUUACAAAGUCACAUUCAAAAUAUAAAUUAUUAAAAUAAUUAUCUUUGUCAAUGACUCAAUCUUCAUAAUCCUACAAUAAAAAGAAAACAAAUUAUUUUUAUAUCGGCAAUAAAAUAAAUGAAAUAAAUGUAGAUACUUAAUUAAUAUUUUUAAUAAAACUAUUUACCUCCUGCUCGUCCUGUUCCUCCUGUUCUUCCUCGAGAAAUGUGGCAAAUUGAGAGAUAGCCUCAGAUUUCAAACCUAAAACAAUGAAAAUGAUAUAAGUAAAGUAACUUAUAAGUGCAAAUAUUAAUAACUGUAUAAUAUAAUUACAAUGUAAAAUAAACUCAUACUGUUAUUGUAAGCUCGUAACCAACUUUGACAGCACAUUAAGGCCUCCAAUGUGCUUGGAUGAAGUUUGUUACGGUGUGGGCUCACAACUCUACCACCGGUGCUAAAAGCUGAUUCAGAAGCAACUGUUGUAAUUGAAAUUGCCAAAAUAUCUCUAGCAAUUCGAGCUAAUGUAGGAUACCUAUUAGCAUUUAAUAAUAUAAAUAUUUUGAUAUUUAUUAUUUUUAACAAUAUUUAUAAUUUUUUUAUUUAUUUAUUAGUAAUUUUAAAAAUAAAAAUAAAAUUAAAAAUUAAAAUGGGGAAAUGGGUAGGGGAUGGAGAUUCCUCCUCGUCCUCGUCCCCUAUUCCAAUGAAAANNNNNNNNNNNNNNNNNNNNNNNNNNNNNNNNNNNNNNNNNNNNNNNNNNNNNNNNNNNNNNNNNNNNNNNNNNNNNNNNNNNNNNNNNNNNNNNNNNNNGGGGGAGGGAACGGGGAUAAUUUUAUACCCAAUUUUUUAUUCGGGGAGGGGACGGGGAAAAUUUUUUACCCAAUUUUUUAUUCGGGGAGGGGACGGGGAUGAGGUGGAAUCCCCAUCCCCUACCCAUUUCCCCAUUUUAAUUUUUAUUUUUUAUUUUUAAAAUUACUAAUAAAUAUAUAACAAAAUUAUAAAUAUUGGCAAGAUAUGAGUGGAAUUUUGGGUGUGACAUGUAUAUUUGAUCCAAGGUAUAAAAAGAAGUUCAUUGAAUAAUACUUUUCUAUGGUUUAUGGUGGUGUUAAAGAGUUGUAUGUUGGGAAAGUGGUCACCCUUUGCCAGGAAUUAGUGGAAGAGUAUCAAUUGAAGUUUUCACCAAUUGUUUAUUGCUUUGAUUAUACUGGUUGUAGUUCUUCUAUUAGAUCUACAGGGGAUUCUUAUAAGAAAGCAACCAAAUGGAUGACAUGUUUUGAUGAUUAUGUAAACAAUGGAGAUUGUGCAGUUGUUGCAGAUGAAUUAGAUUCAUAUUUGGAUGAAAAAGUUAUACCCCGGAUGGAAGAUUUUAAUAUUUUGAGUUGGUGGAAGACAAAUGCUAAUAGGUAUCCUACAUUAGCUCGAAUUGCUAGAGAUAUUUUGGCAAUUCUAAUUACAACAGUUGCUUCUUAAUCAGCUUUUAGCACCAGUGGUAGAGUUGUGAGCCCACACCGUAACAAACUUCAUCCAAGCACAUUGGAGGCCUUAAUGUGCUGUUAAAGUUGGUUACGAGCUUACAAUAGCAGUAUGAGUUUAUUUUACAUUGUAAUUAUAUUAUACAGUUAUUAAUAUUUGCACUUAUAAGUUACGUUACUUAUAUUAUUUUCAUUGUUUUAGGUUUGAAAUCUGAGGCUAUCUCUCAAUUUGCCACAUUUCUCGAGAAAGAACAGGACGAGCAGGAGGUAAAUAGUUUUAUUAAAAAUAUUAAUUAAGUAUCUACAUUUAUUUCAUUUAUUUUAUUGCCGAUAUAAAAAAUAAUUUUUUUUCUUUUUAUUGUAGGAUUAUGAAGAUUGAGACAUUGAUAAAGAUAAUUAUUUUAAUAAUUUAUAUUUUGAAUGUGACUUUGUAAUGGAUCAAUAUUAAUGUAAGAUAUAUUUUAAACUUUAUUUUUAUCUGAAUUUUUUAUUUUAAUAUGAUUAAUUUAAAAUCAAAAAUAAAAAAAUGUAUUAGACUAUUAAUUAUUCGGAGACCGGGGACCCUCGGGGAUCCCCUGUUAUUAUUCGGGGAGGGGAUGGGGAUUCUCUCAAGCAAUUCUAACGGGGACGGGGAGGGGACGGGGACAUACGCAAAAUAUCGGGGAUGGGUAUGGGGAGAUUAGUCCCCUCCCCUCUCCUCCCCAUUGCCAUCCCUAGAUUUUUGCCAUCCCUAUCGAAACCUCUACCCACCACUAUUAGAGUUAAAAAAAUCUCUGAUAUGAGUGUAUUCUUCUAAUUUGAACUCUAACGUGAUUUUUUGAGAGAUUCAUUGGAAAAAAACCUUAAGGAGUUAAAGAAGAAAUUUAAAAAAAAAAUCAUAAAAAGAGGAAUGAAAAGAAAAAGAUGCUUUACCAAGAGUUGAUUGACAGUAAUUGGUAAAUUUGAGCAUGCAAUAAAAUUUACCCAUAUAUUCAUAUGACAUAAAAUAUAAUUUUAUUCAUUAAUUACACUACUAAUUUGUCUAAAUUUUAGUUUUUAAAAAAAUAAAUUUCUAUAUAUUUACAUAAAUCUUAGUUUUUAUAAAAAUAAAUUGAAAAAUAAAUUUAUGUUUUUAUAAAAAUAAAUUUAUGUUUAUUUUUUUACAUUGACCUGAUGUUUAAUUAAGGGCAAUAAUGUCUUUGUGCUAGUGAGAAAUGGCCAGUAAUUGAACUUAACCGCGUAGGACAACAAUUUGACUGUUUGGGGGUGGGGUUGAUGGCUUACAUCAAAGUUAGUGUGUGCUAAGGAUUAACAAUAAUAAUGGGGUAAAUAUGAAAUUAAUCCUUGCCCAAGCAUUAGAAGUUCGUCGGUUUUCUUUUAACCGGAUAAUUACCGGUGAAUAUGUCACGCGUUCCUACACGUGGCAGCAUCUAAUUUAUUCGCUUGUCAUUUCAGUUUCUGUUAGUUACAGUUUCUGUAACGUAGCUAGCUCCGUCAGGUACAGGCAUGUUGUAACUUACGUUUCUCGUAAAAAUCAUAUAAGUUCUAUUUCUACCGCUAGGGUGAGCAUGGGUUGAUUUGGAUUAAAUUUUAAGUUAAUUUAAAUUAAAUUAUAAAAAUUUGGGUGUAAUCUAAAUUAAUUUAAAUAUUUUUAACAUAACUCAUGGGUUGGUUAAAUCAAACUAUAAAAAUUUGGUCCAACUCAAAUUAACUCAAAUAUUUUCAACACAACCCAAAGCAACUCAGUUGGAUUUUAUUAAAAUUAUAAUAAUUAUUAAUUGUUUUUAAACCAACCAUUUUGAGUUUGGUUUGGAUUUUAUUAUCAAAAUAUAUUUUUUAUUUUGAGAAAUUUAAUUUUAUCAAAAUUAUAAUAAUUAUUAAUUGUUAUUACUUAUUAAAUUGAUAAUAACAUAUAAAAAUUAUAAUUCAUAAAAAUUAUAAAUAACAAAUUUUACAAUAACUUAAUCCUUAAAUUAAAGAAUACUAGAAAAUUAAAAUAAAGUUUAAUCACAAAAAUCAUUAUUUAUCAAUAAAUAAGAAAAUUCUAAUAAAAAACUUCUACAAGCACGAUAUCGACAAGUAAAUUCAAAGAAAGAAAGAAAGAAAGAAAAGACUAGUACUACUAAGUAUUAACCCUAUUACAACACAAACUCUAACAAUGUCCAUACAAAUAAAAAAAAAUAAGACAUUCUAACUCAAGUGUCAAAGCAAUCCAUCAUAAUCAUUUCCAUCCGUAGUACUUUAAUCGAGAGAUUCCACGAUUAACUGACAAAAUGUAUGACAAUACGNNNNNNNNNNNNNNNNNNNNNNNNNNNNNNNNNNNNNNNNNNNNNNNNNNNNNNNNNNNNNNNNNNNNNNNNNNNNNNNNNNNNNNNNNNNNNNNNNNNNAAUUUUUUUUUUUUUUAAAAAAAAAAAGUUUUUUUUUUACCUUUUUUGGGGGCCCCUUUUUUUCCCCCCCCCAAAAAAAAUAUGUAUUGAAUGACCAAUUUUAUUACCUGCAAAAUUAAUUAAUCUUUCACUCUAUCAUCUAACUAAUGGAAGGCAAUCUUAUUUUAGGUUGUAAUGAUUAGAAACUAGCAGGAAGUGGGGGCGAUGCUCCAUAUUAAUUUGGAUAAAUCCCUUUCUAGUGAAGAAGUUAAAAUUAUAAAAUAGAGAUCAAGAUAGAAAUUUAAAGGCCCCGAUUGUUUUUUACAGACUUAAAAAUGAUAUUGAAAAAUUAAAAGCUAAUUUUAGUAUUUAAAAAUUACUUUAAGAAAAAUCACCCUAUCUUCCUGUAAAUUUUGAAAAGCAUGAAAAGAGCAGUUUUUCAAAAAUUGAUUUCGAAAAUUAGUUUCAUACUUAAUACAAUUCCAUAUAUCCUAACAUUUAUUAUAAAAAUUCAAAUUAUCCUUAUUAAAUUAGGAAAUAAAGUCAGUACAUUUAAAUAAGAGUGAUGAUAUAGACACAAACUCUUGUACCAACUGACGUAGCAUUAAUUUAUUAGUUGAAUGAAAAUAUAAAAUAAUAUAAAUAAAUCAUGUGGGCCAAGAAAUAUUUAAUUUAACCAAUUUUAUCAUGUCACAUUAAUUUGUACAAAAUAAGUUUGUACAAGAGUUUGUGGCUAUAUCAUUACUCUUUAAAUAAAUUAUUAUUCUACUAAUUAUAUUGAGAUAAUGAAAAAAUACAAUUACUAAAAUAAAAAUAAAUUAAUAUAUAUAUAUAUAUAUAUAUAUAUUUACAUACAUAAAAUGUGAUUAUAUACACAUAUUUAUAAUUGAAUAUGUACAUAAAUUCUGUAGAUUUAUGUCUAUCUAUACAUUUGCAUUCUUACCACAUUUUAAAAGUGUGAUUUACCAAAUACAUGGGACUUAUUUGAAAUUUAUAGCACUUUUAUAAAUAAAAUUUAUCAAACGUUAAACAGAUUCUCUAUUUUCGCGUAUAUAUCCUCAUGUAAAUUAUAAAAAUUCAAAAUUAUCUUUAUUCAAUUAGGAAAUUAAAUCAUUAUUUUUAAAGAGAUUCUUAUUAUUACUAAUUAGAUUCAAAUAACCAAAAAAAUACAAUCAAUAAAAUAAAAAUAUUUAUUUUAGUUAUCAUUUAUUAUAUACACAUAUUUAUAAAUGCAUGUGUAAAUAAAAUUUUAUAGAUUUAUGUCUAUUUAAGUUAUUUGCAUUCUUACAACAUUUAAAAAAUGAGAUUUACUAAACACAUGUGAUUGUUUUUAAAAAAGUUACAACACUUUUAAAAAUAAAAUUUAACAAAUGUUUAAUUGACUCUCUCCAAAGGUAAUUGUUUUUACAGUAUAGCUAAAGUAAUUUAUAAAUUUAUGAUAAGUAUUUGUGAAUAUUGGUCUAUGUAAAGAAGUAAAAACAACAUAUAUAUUAAGCAGCAUGAUAUUAAAACUCUUAGUAAAAUACAUAUACUAAUAAAAGAAAGACAACAAUGCAAUAAAUAAGCUUAUAAUAUAAAUUAUUAAAAUUGUAUAUUAAAAAAUUAUGCAUGAAAUUCUUUUUCUAUUUUGGUGAUAGAGAAUGCGAUAUAAUUGAAUUAUUUGAUUUAAUAAAAAAAAAAUAUGACUGUGAAGGAAAUUAACAAUUGAAUUGUGGAAUGUUAUUAAUUGUUAUUGUAUCAUUUUGCAACGUUCUAAUAAUAUGGACAAUGUUACAGUAUAUUGAUGGGCGGUAAUAUUUUCACCUCUUAAAUUGUGUAAAGUCAGCUCCAUUUAAAAAAAUUAUAUAUAAAAAGCCCAUUAGUUUUAAUAGUUUCAAAUUAAGAUUAAAUGCAAAUAAUUAACCAAUUAAAUCCUUAUUAAUAAGAUCAUUGAGCUUUAAUUAAACUAAUAAAAUGCAUUUGAUAAAUGAAAUUUACGAUAUUUAAUUACAUGAAAUUUAUUGACUACAUGAAUAAUAUAAUUGUUCAGCUGUUUAAACUUUUUCCCUAUUUAAAUUUUAAAAAACAAUGUGAAAUUUUGUAAAUAGUUCUUUGAAAUGGGGUGGAUUUACACCAUUUGUGCAGUGCAAAUAUCCUAAUUCUAACAUUUUUUUUAAAAAAAAAGACCAAAUCAUAACAUUUUUUGUAUACUAAGUUAAAGUAGUACUAACAUUAUAGCCCCCUAAUGAUUUCAAUUCAUUCAAUGAAUAUAUAAUUUAAGCAUGUUAUAAACUAAGUCUCUAAAUCGAAUUAAAAAAAGAAAAAAGAGCUUAAUUGCUGACAUAGUUGAAAAUAAAAUAAAAAAUUUUAUUAUUAGAUGAAAAAUUAUGAAACUUAAGGGGUAUAAGCGAGUCGGCAGCUGCUCACCAGGGCAUAUGUAAUAUUUGUUAAUACAUUUCAAAAUUUUAGGUUUUUUAAUAAUAUUUUCAAUACAUUUUCUAGAAGGUUUAGAAAAAAAAAAUGACUCAAUACUUUAAUCGAGCUAUGAAUAAACUCAUGUGUUAAAAAAUUUCAUAUUUACACCCAAUAAGAUUAAUUAAUGGGUGAUACAAAUUUAAGAUAGUUAAUAAUAAUAUAUAUCAUCUUAAGUUAACUUCAACUCAUUAACCUUGUAUAAGGUUUGAUGGGUCGUGCCGCAAAUUAUCACCUCUAAUCCUUUUUGCAACAGGCAUGAUGAAUGCUAACAAAAUGAAACUUCUAUAUAUUUAGUUGUUAUUCUUUUUAAUGAAAUAAUAAGGAGCUUUGCUGCAAAUUUCCAUCCAGCAUGGCAUGGACGCACGUGAAAUUUGCUAGUAUGGUCCUGGACAUGCGUGGCUGAGAUGCUUCUAAAGGCAAAGAAUUCCAAGUUCAUACCAAAUAUAACUUUCUGAUAUUUUUGUGGUAUCAAGUUUGUUUUUCACAAACUAAGGUGUCGGCGUAAAGUUGUUGUCCAUGCAAUGAAGUUUUAUACAUAAAUAUAUUAACCUAAAUUGUUACUAAAGUUCCAUAAUUAGCAGUUCCUGAGAGUUUUUACUAUAUAUUUUUUUGUUUUAAUUCAACAUAUGUUUAUUUAAUACGAUUUUAUUAAAUAAAUGUGCAUAUUUACCAUAUUUGUCUACGAUCAAUUAGUUGGAAAAAAAAAAGAAAAUUAAUAAAUUUAUUUAUUUGAUUGUUAAUGGUUUAGGCAUUUGAAUUCCCACAAAGUCAGGGUGUCAGCUCUGGACUUCUGGUGAUGUAUUUUUCUAAUAAAGAAAUAAAAUAUUGUUGUCAUUUUUUUAAUAUUCUAAUUUACCAAGCCUACCAACCAAUUAAUUUUUCUAAUUAGAUCAUUAAUUCAUUACACGUGCAUUCGCUGGCCCAGUGCUCCAAUCCCAUGCAUGCUGCACAACUCAAUGUGUUUUAAUAAGAAAAGGUUUGGUUAGCCUGUGCUGAUGCCAGAAGCCCCUUAAGGAGUUCAGGUAAACGUAAAUAUGUCCAGAUUUAGAUUUGAAUAUGUAAACGUAAAUAGGUCCAGAUUCAGAUUCGUUGCGCUAGAGAGGGGCACGCACGAUCGGGCUGCUGUCAGGUGGUACGUUGGCGUGGCAAUUCUCAACACGCGCUUCUCCUGGUGCAUACUUACGGCAAGUUGACACGUGACCCGUGUGGAUUGAGUGGACAGAGUCACGGGCACUGAUUUUUGUCAUCCAUAACGACUAACGUCGGAGACUUCGAGAAGAAAGAAAUUGUUGUCGUUUCUAAGGGGAAAAAAAUAUUUAAUUUGUUGAAGACAAAUUAACGUCGGAGAUUUUUUUUAUUUUUUAUUUUUAAUUUUGCAAUCUAAACCAGUCUAAUCAAAAUGUCAAUUUGACAAAAGUUGGACUGAUUUAGAUUAGUUCUAUUAGUUUGAUUGGAUUAAAUUGAAUUAGAUCUUGAACAUCCUAACACUUUUCAUGAAUGUUUUCCUUUUUUUUUGAAAAAAAUUAAUAAGGAGAAUUCCCAUGAAUGUUAAUUUUAUUGAUAAACUUGGCAAUUUUAAGAAAUGUUUUGACGCACGAAUAAUGCAAUUCAUCAACCCACAUAGAUAUGGAUAUAGGAAGCAGAGACCAGAUCGAUCUUGACAUAACGAAAACUUGUAUGUGUAUAUGUAUGUUACAGACCAGAUCGAUCUGUAGCAUAGACUUCUCCUAUAUGUAGGUUAUAUUCAAAUUACAAAAUGAACACAUGUUAAGGAUCUACAACUUCUUCUUUAAUCUAAUAAGCUCCCUCAACUUUAUUCCAAAACAAAAAAGAAUCAAAUUUUUGUUGGAAAUAUUUAUGAAUGAAGAAGCAAAAAGCGCUUGUAUCAAGGAUCUAAUUAAAGAACUGCCAGAGGCAUAGAUCUAUCAAAGCUCCCUCGCAUGACUCUUGGUCUCGGUGGCUUCUUCUUCUUCAUUCCGAAUUUUCCCUCCAUCUGAUCUCUUCCAACCUUUCCAUUUCCAAAUUGAAUUGAAACUUGCCUCAUAUUCGUUUGUUGAAUCCCAUCUUUUGUUGCACCACCAUGCAUCAAAAUCCUUGAAAUCCCAGCAUAAUGCAAGGACUCAGCUAUUUGCAAUGGGGUCACGUUCUUACUUGUCCUUGCCUCAACAUCAGCUCCCUUCUUCACAAGCAAUUCAGUCACAUCUGUGUGGCCAGAUUCCACCGCACAAUGCAAAGCUGUGUACCCAUCUUCAUCUUUAGCAUCAACAUCAAUCCCUUUAUCAAUCAGAAUCCUCACAACCUCAAUCUUUCCCUUAAACGAAGCCCUAUGCAAAGCAGUCCAUCCAUGUAGGUCUUUCCCAUUGAUCGCGGCGCCUGCUUCGAUCAACCUCUGCAUUGUCCUCACUUCCCCUUUCCUAGCGGCAAUACACAGGCUGUCACCAAGCUUCAACGCGUCAAAGAGACGGGAGUGACCGCACUCAGCAGCAACAUCAUAAGCGGUCUUUCCGCUCUUGUUUCUAAUAUAUUUAUUAGCACCCUUCUGCAAUAACAGCUUCACCAUUUGCUCAUAUCCCAAGCUUGCGGCGAUAUGCAAAGGCGUGUCACCGUCUCUAGCGUUGCGUAUAUCAGGCCUUGCUCCGUUUGCUAACAGAAGUCUCGCGCAAUCUCUUCUUCUGUCUUCAACCGCGAGAUGCAGAGCUGUGUUACCAUCUUUUGUUAAAGCAUUGACAUUAGCACCUUUGAUUAAGAGAAGCUUUAGUACUUCCAAAUGGCCGCCUCGUAAGGCCAAGUGUAUGGGCCCCCAUGUUGAUGUUCCUGAUCUUUCUGUGCUGGCUUUCCUCGCCAACAAGAGCUCAACAAUAAGUGCUUCCCCUGCAGCCGCCGCGGCUUCAAGUGGAGUACUGCAGCCACACCUGCCUUGAGACUCAACAUCCGGCCCAAACUCAAGCAAAAGUUGAACAAUAUCAGGCCUCCUUUGAGCUAUAGCAAUAUGAAGCAACGUUUGUCCCUGCGCAUCGGCAGAAUCAGCCGGGUUCCAAGCCGGGUCACUCCGCUCAAGAACCUCUCUUAAAUCAUCCAUUUCACCAUCCUUAACAAGCAGAACCAAAACAGGAGACCCAACGAACAUGAUCUUGAUUCCGCUGUCGAUGAACACUUGCUUCUUCCUCGUUGUGAACCAGUCACUGGGGACGGAAUCAAGCGUCGACGUUGCAUCUUUAAUUCCAGCUCCAGGAACAACAACGCUGUGCAAGAGGAAGGAAUCAUCACAGUGAGGGAAAGAAUCAGGAAGAACCGAUCCUGGAGGGAGAUGAUACGCAAUCUCUACGCUUAGUGUUGCGAGUGGUGAUAUGAUUCCUGAUUGCGGCUUCACAGUAUAACGAGCCUUGUUUGUAGGCUGAAUCCUGAAAGCAACAGGCAUCGUGUGCAUGACAUUGCGGAGAGUCAGCUCCCCGGAACAUUUCUGCCCUGGUUCAAUUCUGAUAGCUACAAGGUUCGACGGCUCCAAGCUUACAAGCCUAUCCAUUGAUUAAUUUUCUCUCCGUUUCCCAAGGACUGCUGAAAGGGGUUCUUUGAACUUUUUGAUUCAGGCUUAUUUUCUUCACUUUUGGUGGCAUGGGGAGGAAUUAGAGGAGUAACUGUAAGAGCUGCAAGUGUUGGUGUAAUCAACUGUAAUAUAAGGAGAAGAGAGGGCCGGCUCUAAUGGGAGACUGCCACGUGGUGGUGUUAAAAACAAUGAGACUUGUUCUGUUCGGCGUCCGGAGUGUAUAUACAGUUGUGUUAGUGGUGAAAGUUAAAGAAAUCCUGAAGUUAUUUUCGGAGUGGCUUCUGCAAAGUCACUUUCAGGAUUGUAUUGUAUCAUUAAAAAACAAAGCCAGUUUUUGUUGUUCUAGUAAAAGGCGAAUCAUUGGACAAACUCGUAAGAAUAUGUUGCCAAAUGUAUAAAAUAUGAAAUUCAAACAAUGAUUACAAUGUGAAAUUGGACAAUGGACAUGGCCUGUGUGAAUUGUUUUGUGGGCUUACUAAUUAAAUUAAUUCACUAAAAAUAAUGUCACUUUUGUGUCUGUGAAGAAGCCGAAAUGGCACAGUCAUUUACGUGGCCAACUACGGUGACUACUUCGUCAGUAGCUGCUCGAGCACUUGGUCAGCACAAGUUGCUUUCUUUCUUGGCGGGAUUAGUUUUUCUUCAUUGCUUUAAGUGGUGCAUUUCUGCAGUUUCAUUUUGCUUUGCUUAUGCCAUUGGAUUUGUGCCCCAUAAAUAAAUAUAUAAUUAAGCGGAAAAGUAUCAAAUUUUGAAAAAGCUUAGGUUUUGUGUGUGUGUGUGUGUGUGUGUGUGUGUGUGUUUUAAGCCGAAUUACUCGGCUAAAAAUUAAUCCGAUUAUUAUUGUUUUGGUGCUUAAGAUGUGACUCUAACCUAAAGCUCAUUUGAACUCUCUUGAUGCUCAUAUGGUAUUUUUUGUGUUGUGUCGUGCUGGCCCUUACACAUCUCGGCUCAUAUUUUUCAUGUUACUAAGUUCUAAUAUGUACAAAAGAAAUAGAGCAAUGUCCGGUGGUAGAUCCAAACACUCAAUUUGGGGUGCUUAUUUUUCAGUCUCAAAUUCGAUUAUUUUCUUUUAAAAUAUUAAAAUAAUAGUAAUAAAAUACUUAUUUUAAAUACUGAGCUCAUUACAACCACAUAUGUAAAAGUAUCAUUUAUAUUUUUUUUCUAAAUAAUCUUCACAAAAUAUUUUAAAAAAUAAAAUUAUGUGACUAUGGGGAUUUGAACCAAGUCUCUCAAACUACUAAAUAACACUUUUACCACUAAAUUACAAAUCUUUUAACAUAUUAAAAGUGCAUCCAAAUUAUUAUUAUUAUUUAAUUAUUUCAUAAGAGAUUUGGGGCACAUUUAAAAGAAAAAAAAUUAAUGGUGCAUAAAGGACUAAAGCCUCUCUUGAGUCCUUGACCUUAACUAGGUCCACCCAUGGUAAUGUCAGUGAUACCCAACUUGAAAAAUAUACAAGAAACUUGGAAAUUUAAAUUAAUGAAUAAAUAAAUAAAUAAAAGGAAACUUAGUGAUUGUAGCUGUUGUAUUGUAUUGUGGAUCAAAGAAUUACAAGUUCUUGGUUUCUCGGUAUUGGCUAAUUUUGAAGUUAAAUGAAGUUCGAAAAUAUUUACAAGCAAUAAAAUUAUCAACUGAAUGAGACAAGGAAAGAGUAUAAAGACCUUAGCAAAUUAGCAAUCCUUCUUUAAUUUAGUAACAGUGACGCUUAUAAAGUUAGAAGACGUAUCAAAUCUAAUUUAGAUUUUGCCCCAUAAAACUAACUUAACUUAUAGUGCGUCUUUGUUUAAUUAGUAAAUAUUCCACAAAAACUGAUCAGCACUUUAUAGGAAAUUCCAAACACGUUUAUAUUCACAAGGAAUAUGUCAAGGAGAAAUGAGAAUAAAAAAAUGUAAAAACUAAUAAAGCUUCAUUAAUUAGAAUUUAUAACCAUAUGUGCUCCUAUACUACUUUUAUUAUUAAGAAUUUGAAGUAGAAGGUAGUUGAUUAUCAUGAAAUUACAAAAUUGUAAACGGAUUUGUUCUUUUGGAAAAAGAAAAAAAAAAAAAAAGGAAGGAUAGUUGAUUACUUGAUUAGUGAGAAAUCAUACGUAUAAAGGACAAAUUGAAAAAUGGGACCUGAAUUGCAACAAAGCUUCAUUGGAAUUAACUGCCGAUAAAAUUAAAUUAGUAUCACCCUACCCUUUCAUCUUAAUAUAUUCGAAAUUUCACCGAUCAAAGUUUCUAGCUUCGAUUUUUACGAUCUCUCAUCCUAAUAACACCAAAAGCAUAUUCAUUCGUUUGUAAGAUUAUGUAACAAAAUAUAGUAAAUAGCCUAUAAUUUUUUUGUUUUACUACUAACCUGUUAUCAUUCUUUUCUAAUAAUACAUGUUAAAAUAUUCACAGAAAAAAUUUAUCCCUAUUACACCCAACCACCUUUUUUUGUGUUUUUUUUGUUCAAAUUUUAGCAUUAAAGGGACAAUAAUGUCCUAUGAAAUAUGCAGAAAGACAGUUAAUAAUAUUCAAAAAUGUAAGUGGAGGUAUCUUACGCCACACACACAAAUUACACGACUCUCAUUAAUGUGUUGUUGUUGUUAUGUGUGGCGUAAGUUACAGUUGAAUGUCAUAUUCAAAAAAGUAAGUGGAGGUAUCAAUCUCCCUAAAUAAAUAAUUUAUGGAAGGUUGUUAGCUGUUGUACUUUUAGUUAAUUUUAAAAUCACAAUAAUAUGGUUAAUGUUAAGUUACAUGCAUGUAACUUAGGAGGAUCCCAAUAAUAUACCAUAUUUUAUUAAUAUGUACAGUAUUUAUAAUAUUUAAAAAUUAAGGAAUUAAUGUACGCAUGUAAAAGCUGCAUUGGAGCCAGUUGGAAAUCUUACUGUCUUGAUAUAUGCAACGAUUGUAGCAGCUAAAAAGGCAUGAUAUUUACUUAAUAUUAUUUCAAACAAUAAUUAUUUAUUUAAAGCAAAUAAUAAUAAUGAGGGCAGAAGGACUAUUCUAGGAUCAAUAUGGUGACAGUAUAAAUAAAUAAUAUUAAUUAUUAAUGCAUUGAUGAGUAUUGUUAAAAUGACAUAAUAGGUUUGUUUCAUUGAAUUGAACCUUUUCUCUUAAAAUAGCUAUAAUUUGUUCUCUCUCUCUCUGUGUUUUUGUUUUUGUUUUUCACUUUAGUUUUACUUCUCUUAAAAAACCAAAAAAAAAAAAACAAAAUUAAUGGAAACUGAUGAUGGGAAGACGGACAAUUUUCUAUAUUGUUAAAUAGAAAUGGGCACAAAUGUGAGUUUUUUGGGGCAAAAAAAUAUAGUCAAUGUACGUAGCGUUUGUCUAUUUGAAAACCCGUCAAUAUAAAAACAGGACGUAAAGCUUUCAGACAAAGUACUCUUAUGGCCGUACUUUCCAUAAACCAAAUCAAAAGAAGGAAAAUAUUUGUGUCUGGCUUCGAUGCGACUGUUAACAUUCACAAAUAAACACCUUUGCAUGGUCAGAAAAAUUAACAAGAAAUUAGAAGGCGAUGUUGCGUUCUACUUAGUUCUCUAGGAUUUGUGUCAUUUGUUUAUGCUACGGUUCGUUCCCAUUUGCAUUGCGUGGAAUAAUUGGCCGAAUAUUAUUAAUCUCAAUCUUAAUCUCUCAACUCUUGUCCCUUUAAUUUUUGUUUGUAUCUUUUUCUUUUUUUUUUUAAAUAUCACAUACAAUGCUUUUAAUAAAUAACUUCAUAGAAAUAUUUAAUAAAAUCCAACAUAUAUAAGUUCAAGAAACUCAAAAAAUAAAAGAAAAUAAACUCACGUUGUCACUGGAGAGACUCAAACAUGCUACCUUAAAAUUAAGUAGAGGGUGCAACUACUUGCACUUUAAAAAAAGAAAAGAAAAAAAAAGGGGCUUUGAACGCUCGUGAUAAUUUGCAAGUUAUGGAGGAUAAUCAUUGUACAAUGGGGAGAACUCUUAUGGAACAAUAUUCAAACUGAUAUUGAAAGCAUAUAAGAAUUUGGCUUGGGUGUUUUGGUGCCAUGAAUGAGUGCAGAAACAAAGAGGAAGCUUUGUCCCUUUAAUUUGAUCUGCUGUAUUAUAAUUAUUGAGAUUAAUCAAAUAAAUAACCGAAACAUGGUUACAGUUUUAUAGUGUAUUGCAAGUCUUUGGAGAUACUAUGUACCUCAAAAAAAAAUAUCGUAUAAAAGAGUGUUUUGUUUCACAGGGGUUCAAUGAGAUUUGAGAUGGCUGUAAUGAAAGUGAUGUAAAUUUUUUGGACUCUAAUGAGGUGUUUUUAGAUGGAGGGGGAUUUACAAGUAUUUUAUAGGGGUGAUAAAUGACUGUAUACCCACCAAAAAGGCCCAUUGUUCGAGUCCAUGAGCAUUACAGUUUUUUUUUUUUUUUUUUUUGAAAUUCAGAACAUGCAGUUUGUUUGAUUCAACUUCCGAAUUACAAAAUUAGAAUAAGAAAAAAAAAUGUGGAUGUUUUUUCUUUAAUUUACAUAAUAAUACAUGGUGUGGACGAUGUCUAUUGAGGGAUAAAAGAGGAAUGGGGGCACUGUGAAGUUUGUGUUUUUGUUUUUUUUAAAUUAUCAUAUUCAUACUGUCUAUAAAAAUAUGCAAGUUAAAAAAUUACUCAUGAUAUUGUUGUUUUUGUUUCAUAUAAUACUACUUAUGCACAUCGCCUCAUGCAAACAUUUCUUAGUUAUGCUUAAAAAAAUGAGAUUCUCACCAUGGGUCACUGUAAAAAUCCACAGAAGCCGUGGAUCACAGUAGGAAGCCCACUUGAACAGAAGAAGCUACCGAAAGCUUCGACAUUGUAUUUAUGAAAUGCUUAGUAAAUUUUGUUUUAUUUUGAAUUUAUAUUAUAAAUGGUGUGUUGCUAAAUUAAAAAAUAAAAAAGAAAUGCAAUGUGUCAAAAUACAAGAAUCUUACGGACAUUUUUGUCACAAUAUAUGUAAAUAAUUCAUAUCUUAUUCAUAUCCUAUGUAAGCUUCACUUGUUUAACACAAUGGUGGUUGAAUCUUCAAAAAUUCAUAAUCUUAAACAACCAAAUUUGGAAUUAAUUAAGCAAAUUGCCUCUAUAAAUUGAUUACAACAACCAACGACGUGUGAAGCCACAUGUCAAUUUCCCUAGACAGCCCAAAUAUUGAGGCGCUGUGAGGGAGCAAGGUGCAAUCGGAUGGGGGAAAGAGAGAGAGCCAAUGGUGAGAAUGGAUCGUGGUGAGGGAGAACCAACUGGUGGUGAGAUUUGUGGCUUCAAUGAGGUGAGUUUCGUGGCGCUGUGAGUGAAGUGAGAUUUGGCAUGAGUGUGAGGGAGAAUGCGUGUGUUGUGUGAGUGAGGUAAGCUGUGUCUGUUGUGUGCAUGGAGACUCUCACCACAAUUAGAAUUUAUAGUUAGCACAGAACGAAACACAAUAUUCUACGCUAACUGUGGAGUUAACCAUGGUGAGAAUAUCAUUAUUGUUUAUUAUAACACUUUUUUUUUUAAUUUGUUUUGACAAUAAAAUAAAGAACCUUGUAAGAAAACCUCAAUAACUCAAUUAAAAAACCAACUCAACCGAUGAUAGGUAAAUUGAGAAAUUUUCAACUAAAAAUUAUUAAGAUUGGUUUUAACUUCAAAUCAUAGUCACAUAGUUUUGUCCUUAUAAAGAUCAAAAUAAUGAAUUCUAACUCCGAAGUUUUUAGAUUUAUGUGACGAACUGACGAUAGUAUAUUGAAAUCGAUUGAAAUGAAAAAUUUAAUUAAAUGCAAUUCAAGAUGUAGUAUCAAAUUCAAACGAUUCGGAUUGUUUUAAAAAUUUCAAUGCUUUAAUCUAAAUCGAUUAAUCAAUUACACUCUUGCAAUUAUAUACCGUUAAAACUAAAAUAUGUAAAAUUUAGGGUGCAUUUAUUACCAUUUUCAAUUUGUUGUUUUUCGUUUUAUGAAAAGGAAAAUACAGAAAACUUGUUUGGUGAGCUCAUAUUGGUGGAAAACUGUACAGUGAUUAAAAACAAAAAAAAAUUCAUUUUUCAAUGUUUACAAAGGAAACAAGAAAACGCUAUUACACUGGGUUCUCUAUUUUAUUUCACUUUUACUCUCUGCCAAGGCCCUACCAUCUUAACUUUUAUAACAUGGUGUAAUAAAUUACGUGGGCCCAUUUAAUAAAGAAAUAAUCUAAUAAAUAAAUUAUUAUAACAAAUAUUUAAAAAUAAUAGCAUUCCAUACCUUACAGCUUAAUUACUUAAUAUAUUACCCAAAUUAUUUUAAAUAAAAAGUGAUAUCAUAUAAUUAUUAUACUAAAUUAUUACAUUGUUCGACCAAUAUGCAGUUAUUUAAAAAUUACUACAAACUUUCUUACAUAUAUUAAUGAAAAUAUAUCAAUAAUAAAGUUACAUCUUGACAGUUAAUAUAAAUAAAUAUAUGAUAAUUAUGAAAUAAUUAAAGAUUUUCUCAAUUAAUAUUAUCUUAUAACUACAAUUUAUUUACAUAAUUAAAAGUUUUUAAGAAAUUAUUAAAAUAUCUUCAAACCUAUAUGCAUUUAUAAUAAUAUAUAAUACAUCAUAAUAUAAUAACUAAAUAGAUAAAUUAUUUAUUAAUAUAAAAUAUAUGUUUAUAUUCAUUAUAUAAUAUUAUUCUUUCAUAGUAGUUUCAUUAAAUAAUUCUCUACUCUCUCUCUUUUUAUCUUUAUUUUUUCGGACAGACAAGUAACCAAACACCGCUUCACCUUUUUUUUAUUUUCAAAUACUAUUCUUAAAAUAAACUACCAAACAUAUUUUUAUUUUUAACAAAAACUAAUCAUUUUUAUUUUAUAAAACAAAUUGAAAAGUACUAUUUAAAAUAUAAUACCAAACUUACCCUUAAUAAUUUUAUAUUUGUCAAAAAGAUGAGAAGCUAAGUGGCACUAUCGUUUACCUAUUCAAACUAAACGUGGAGUCACAAUAUUGAAGACACUUUGGUGGCCACAACACUCUUUUCUUUAGUACGGAACAAUCUGGCUUACAUGACACUACAUAAAAAUAAAUAAUAAAAAAUCACCGAUUCCAACUGCCCCGGACAAAAAACAGGCCACACGUAAAAAGGCUUCUAUUUUUAUUUUUAUUUCUCCCCAUUUUAAAGAUGACGUCAUGGUGAUUAUGAAACCAGAAAAUAACAAAUUUUAGUUGUCUGAUUUUGUAGUUAUCCAGCGAAAACUAAAAAAACAGUGAACGCAGCAGCAGAUCUCCGUGUUUGUCGUCGUUCGAUGAGAGAUUCCGAUUCGUGAGCAUCGCAAGUGUUGAAAUGGAAUCAGACGAAAUGAGGAGUUAGCCUCUUAUUAUAUAAUAAUAAUAAUGAUAAUAAUAAUAAUAACUAAUCUCUUUUAUCAUAUAAUUGAUAAUGGAAAUUCACAUUGACAAAAGGCAAAUUACACACUGACUGGGCAGAAUAAAAAACAGUCUCUCUCAAAAGCAAUAAUUUAAACACUAACACCACCUUAAGGAGACACCCCAAAAAUAAAGCAGCAAGCUCUUACUGUGACCACACACACACACACACACCAAACUUUUAUUAUAGAAUAAAUCUAAGAUGAUGGAUGAUGGAUGCGUCACAUAAAAGUUAAUUAAUUUAAUCGCUGUCACUGCUGCUGCUGCUCUCGUGUCCGUCCUCGUGCUUCUUCUUCUUCUCCUUCUUUUUCUUCUUCUCUUCACCGUGGGCGGCGCCCUCGCCGCCGCCGACACCGGGGAUCUUCUGCUUGAUCUUGUCCACCAAGCCCUCCUUGUGUUCGCCCUCCUUGUGUUCCCCGCCGUGAUGCUGCUGCUGAUGGUGAACAUCAGUAGUGCCGACACCGGGGAUCUGCUGCUUGAUCUUGUCCACCAAGCCCUCCUUGUGUUCGCCGCCGUGAUACUGCUGCUGAUGGUGGACAUCAGUAGUGUGGUGGUCCCCACUAUGGUGCUCUCCCUUGUGCUUGUCCUCCUCCUUUUGCCCUCCUCCCAUGUGAAGGGCUUCUCCGAUCUUGUGAAUAACUCCUGACAUUUUCCCUUAAAAUGACUCUGUUCCUCUUCUUUUCUUUUCAAUGAAAAAUAGUUGUUUGCGAUCUUCUUCUGGUUGUUGUUGUUCUUGUUGGGUGAUCUUGGCUUGGUAUUUAUAGGCUCCAAAAGGAGGGACUAGAAUUAGGAUUAGAUUAUAGAUUAUUUUAAUACAUUUUAUGGCAAAUUCUGAUUUGGAAAGAUAAGAUUAUCCUUUUGGUUUUCCUUAUUUACCCUUUUGCACCCAUUACGUGUACGCGUCUUCGUGGGCUUUUUGGGUAUUUCAAUUAUAUCGCCAAUGCUAAAUCGACACGUUGCAUAUCAGCCGCGGUACUGCCGUAUGUAGUUGUCCAGAAAUCGAGUCGAUUCUCGAUCGUACAAUAAUUAAAUAAUAUUUCAUACGAAAUGAGUUUAGAUAUAUUUUGAAAAUUUAUUUUUAAUUUAAUUAUACGUGUUAUAUAUUUGUUAAUCGAAUAGAGGUCCCACGUAACAGAGUGUUUCUCUAAUCUUUCAUUGCUUUUAAUUAAUUUUACCCAAAUAAAAAAAAAAAGGAAAAUUUAGAGAGAGAGAGAGAGAUAGCGAAUUAGAAGUUGAUUGUAAUAUCGACACCUGUCAGACAAUCAAAUAUCGUUAGUUAAAAAUCAGUUGUCCAUAGUCAUGGUCAUAGAUGGCGAAAUUGAUACUUAUUUUAAAAAACAAAACAAAACAAAACGAAACGAAACUAAACUAACAGAUGUUGAAAUGCAGUUCCGUGUUAACAGUCUGUGAUGAAUCUUUAUCUUUGAGUAUACCAUUCAAGAAAUUAUCAUUCAAAAAUUUAUUUAAAGCAGCAGCAAAUCACCUUCUAAUUCCUGAAUCAAAUUAAUUCGAUUUUUUUCGAGUCGAUCAAUUCAUUAGAGAAUUAACGGGCUAAGUUAAAGUUUUGUUAGUUAUUUUUUUUUAUAUUCCUUUAGAUGAUAUGAUUGUCAUUGUCUUUCUUUCUCUGGGCAACAAUAAAUACAAGAUGUGCAAAAGCGUAGUGGAACAUAAUUCGAUUAUGGGUAAAGGGAUCAGUCCGCAUAAUGAGGAUAAAGUUUUUCUCUUUAAAAAAAUUUAACCCAAAGAAAAGGUCGUAGUUUGUAAUAGCCGACACGCAGAUAGAUCACAAAGCAUGGCGGUCCUGAUGGCAAUAACUAACUGAUAUCUUCUGCGAUGAGAGGAGAUCACGUGGUUCUGACACGUAUCGCCCCAUCAACUGAUGUUGUGGCUGCAAUCGCGGCCCAGUCUUUAGAGAGAAGAAAGAUCUGUUAUAACGGGACCUACUUUAGCAUCUAUUUACGACAAAGCCCCUAUUUACUCUACUUAGUAGUAAUAAUAGCAAGUGUCGGGCUUGGAUUCCGUGUUGCUUUAAAUAAAUAUCCGCGUAAAAAGAAAAUGCUUCUUUAAUCCCUUCCUUGUAAUUUUUCGACACGUGGAUGGUUGAAAUUAGCGUGCCGACAUCUUAGGAAUUUUAUCUUGGAGACGGGAACACUGCAGUAGGCAAUGCCAUUUUCUUCGGAUGGUGUGUGGUGACAACGCCUUGGAUUUUGACGUGCAAAGAAUUUAAAUUGAAAAAGAAAAAAAGAAAUUACCAGAAUAAGCAUAGAAGAGAUAUUUUUCUUUUUGUCCUUUUUGGAAUGGAAAAAGAGAUCAAGAGAUUGUUCCAGUAAGUAUUACACAUGUCACAGGCUUAUUCAUGCCCCAUUAUGGCAACUUUUAUGCCUCGCGGUGCCCUCGGUUCCAGCAUAAUAGCUAAGACUUCAAUUUUUCUAACAUAUUUUUGUUACAAAUAUGAACGGAGUAAAUGUAUAACUUUAAUCCUUUGAAUAAAGAAAUGGCGGUUCUCCUGCUCGUUAAUCUCACUUGAAUCCCACCCAGGCAAAAUUUCUUUAUUUUAUUUAACAACAAUUUAAAGAAAGAAACUUUUGCCAGGUUGAAUUUCAAGUGAGAUUCAUUCGUGGGAGAAGUGCCAUUUCUUUAUUCAAAAGAUUAUGGUAAUUACAACUUUCAAUUUCGACAUAAAUUAAAAUUAUAGGCUAUACAAUAAAAUUGCCCUAAAUUAGUCCUAAUCAAUUCAGAUUAUAAAUUUAGGUAUAUUUAUUAUUUUAAUAUAUUAAUGUUCUAUAUAUAUAUAUAUAUAUAUAUAUAUAUAUAUAUGUGUGUGUGUGUGUAUUCAAUAUUUUACAAAAUAUUUGCUAUGGAUAAGGAGACAUGGUCCCACGUCCCACCGUCCCAAUGCAUAUUUUGUAUGUUUCCAUCUUUUCUGAAAUUUUAAUAAAUAAAGUUUUUUGACCACUUGGCCAAAGAACCUUACCCUUACACAACUUUGUGGUUGGAGUCCUGUGAUACAUGUAAGAACUUAUUUUUUUUCUUAAUUAUAAUAUUUUAGAAUAUAAUUAAGUGAAGUAGGUUUUUUUUUUAAAUAUGAGUAAAAUAGAUAUUUUUUAAAUAUUAAAGAGAGUAAAAUUUGAAUAAUAAUAUAUUAAAAUUAAUACAAACUAAUUUUAAUAAUUAUUUAAUUAUAAAUAUCAAUUAUAACAUCAUAUAAUAUCAAUUAUAAUAUCGUACAUCUCAAUUAAUUCAAUAAUAAUAAUAAUAAAUGUUUUUUGGGAUAAGUAAACAGUCGCAUGGCGACAAUAGUGGAUCUGGAUUAGAGUGAAGUGGUCCCAAGAGGCUGAGGCUGUGGCUGUGGAGUUCUAAAAGUCAAAAGCUCCACGCACUUUGUUUCAGUACCAUACACACUGAAAAAAUUUGCAUUUGCAAUGACGAAAACUUUUCACGAAAUCAAAACACCUCUAAACUAUUUUGUUAUCGAUAUUUAAUGGAGGGGUUUCCUACCUUUUUAACACUCGAUUCACGCCUUGACGCAUCUCACAGAAAACCUCAUGAUCCCAUUAAUCUUGCGUAACAUAUCUCAAAGCCAAUGCAAGUGAUCUUGUUGCCUACUUCCCUUUGACGAUUCAAAAUUGUUGAAAAUAAUUCUUUUUUUUUUUAACCUCAAGGAAGUGACAAAAUAUAAAAGAAUAUUUUCUACACAUUAAACAUCUAGAUUUUUUUUUCUUUUCUUUUUAGAGUACUUGCACAAACCGUUUCCAAGAGAGACCUUUUUUUUUUUUUUUUUUUUUCCGGGCUUGGUUACUAAUUUGGUGUGAAUACUCUAUGGUGAAAAAGGAAUCACAAAGCUGUAAUCAAUUUUUUUGCAUCAUUUAGUUGUAACUUGAACAUUGGGAGGUUUAUAAAGAAUUAAAUUAAUUAUAAUGCCUCUACUAGGAAAAGUUCAGAGUAGCCCUUCACA